rnacentral:lncRNA from 1 species
AUAUGAUAUCCUAAACUCAUAUUUAGGUAAUGUGUCAAAAAAAAUGCACUCAAACACUAUCCUAGUGUUAUCCUAAAUCACUAGCACAACCUUAAUUAUCCUAGCCAUUACCUACCCCUAGUCAUUACAUAUUUCAUAUUUAUGAAUAAAAUAAUCAUCUAUCUCCUUUUUUCUUUGUCUAUUCUCUCAUUUUCCCUUUCUUACUCUUAAAUUUAUUAUUAAAAUAAUCUUAGGAGUACAAAUAUAGAGAUUACUAUUGGAGUUGAUACUAAAAAUUGAUUACCUAAAUCACUAAGACAAACUAGCACUCAUUAUUUUAUAUUAUUUAUAUUAUUUAUAAGUAAUAGGAUAGGUAACCUAUUGGACUUGCUCUUGAUUACUAGGAUACUGAAGUACGUAAUCUGCUCUGCUGAUUUAUAAGCAGUGAUUGAUCAAAUUAAAUAAUGAUAAUUAUUUAUUUUCGAAGACCUGCUUGCUGAUUUUUUUUUAUUAUUUUUUAUUUUUUGACGAAAUGCAGGCUUUUAUAACAUCAAAUCAUGGGCAAUACAAUCUUUAACCUUGAUCGGAACAGACCUCCAAUCAUAGAUACGAUCAGGAUACAUAUGUGAUACAUGAGCAAGUUCAUGUGCCGGCAUAUUCGCAGACCGUUUAAUAAAAGACAACUUAAUGUUGUUAAACUGAGAUAACUUUCUACACUCCUCGAUUACCUUACCAAGCCUCGAACGCAUAGGAGUAGCGCUCCUUAUUAACUGAAUGGCUGCAAGGCAAUCAGAUUCUACGGUAGCCGGAGACCAUCCCUUCUCCAUUGUCCAGCUUAAGGCCUCUUUAAUAGCAAUAGCUUCUGCUAAAGUUGGAUUUAAAACCUCUGGGAUAGUUAAAGACCUGCUUGCUGAAUUAGAUCAAUGACAUCAGUAUCGGCAUCGCCGCAAAUAUGGAUGAUCAUUGAAUGGAGAGAAGUUUGUAAAAUGAAUUUUUAAUGUGUCAUAAAACUUAAAGGUCUAACAAUUUCAUGAGUAUAGUUUUAGGGAAAGUUGAAAAAUAAAUCCAUGAAUUCUGUCACGAUUCAAAAUGAAUAAAUAUAUUAUAAAUGAAACAUUAACAAAUGUUUAAAAAAAUAUGACAAUCGAUCCCAAUAUCCCAUGCUUUCGGUUCUCUAUCCACAAGAAAUAUAAAAUAAAAAGUUAUAAUCUUGGCCUGGUCUUGUUGAGUAACGAGACUGUCUAUCUGUGACACUAUUGUUUAUCUCUUAAUCCACAUAAGAAUUAGGCAUAUUAAUAUCCAGAUAACUUCCCUAAGACAUGAUUUAUAGUAAGAUUGCUUGCGCAUUUAUACAUAGAUUAUUUAACAAACAAUUUGGAUAUCUGACAUUAUAUAAUUGAGUUGUAUAUGUAUCUGUCAAUUCUUGUUAGUUAGACGAGGUAGACUUCUGAACUAAUUAUUUAAUUAUCAUUUAGCAACUGUUCCACUACCACUAACAUUCUUCAUUACUUGUCUAAUCUCACAUUCUCACUUGCAGCAUAAAAAAGAUUUCAAAAUAACAAGGCUAAUAAUGGCUUCUUUUUUCUUAUUUGACAGGAACAGGGUUAAUGUUGAGAACUUUAUAAUAUUGAUGAUGUGGAAAAGAAUAAUAUAUAAAUAAAUAUAUUAUCCAUCAGAACUUGCAAGUCAACCGGUCAUCAUAUAUCAUAGCGCAGUAGUGUAUAUGUCACUGCAGUUCUCACUGGCGUGCCUAUAGGCAUGUAUUUUACAAAAAAAGCAUACCCAAAUGGCAUGCCAUUUUCCAUUAAAUAUAACAAAAACUGCUGCAUCAUUACAGGAUUGAUACUAAAGUGCACUUACAAAUAUAACAAAAGUUAGUAAAUAUUUAGAACAGAAGUUAGUACAGUACUAACUUAUAUUAGUAGUUUAUCUAAUAUUUAACUAUGAAGUUGGACUAUAUUCAAAAUUUUCAAUAUUUAUAAGAUAUAAUAUUUAUAUAAAUUUUAUUAUUUACAUAAAAAAAUUAGUAAAAAUGCAUGCCAAAUGGCCGAGUCUGGCAUGCCCGUGCCGCUGUGACAUGAACCCUAUAGCGUAUCUUCGUACCUCCAGUGCUUACUAGACAUGCACAAAAGAUCUGUUCGGGCCAGAUCUAGAUCGGACGAAAAAAAUCCGGAUUUUUUUGAAACCAGAUCGGGCCGGGCCGGGCUUUCCCAAAAAUACUAGGUCUGGUUUAGUUAUAAAAAGUCCGGAUUUUUCAAAAAUUCGGAUUUUAUCCUGAUUUUUUUGAAAAUACUAGGCCUGUUUUAGGCCCUCGGACCGGGCCGGGUCAGACCGAGUUUUUUUCGGAUCGGAUUUUUCAGAUUUUUUUCCAGAUCGGAUCGGAUCGGAUUUCAGAUUUUAGGUUUUUUGAAAUCUCUAGUGCUUACGCCUCCUGAUGCUUACACUUCAUUUAUUCAAAAUCAACUUUAUCCACUGAUAUUAGCCUAUGGAAAUGUAUUUUGUUCCUUGCAAAAAUAAAUAAAUUAAAAGUAAAAGAUUUUGCUAAAAAUAAAUGAGUAUUUAGUUAUAUUAGGAAAAAAAUAUACCAGUUCAAGAAUCUUGUAUGAUAUUAGCAUUAUUGUUACACAUAGCAAUAAUAAUUUUUGGCUGAAAAUCAUGUGGAUUUUUUUCUUUCUAAAAUUGAAAAACAAAUUAUCAAAAAAAAAAGUCCUAUCCUAAGAAAUUGAUUAUUACAGAAGUUGUAUCUCAUAUUUUUAAGAACAAUUAUUUUUCAGCAUUUACGGAAAAAUAUACUGGUUUAGUGGUUUUGAUGUCAAAUCUCAAUAAAAAUAUUUUCUGUAUUAAAAUUCAAAAAGAUAUAAAUAGAAAACAAAUACUAUUAAGGAAAACAGCUGGCAUUGAUUAAAAGCAAAGGAAAAAAAAGAAGGAAAACAGCUGGCAUUUAUUCCGUUAGUCAGUGGACCACGAUAAACUAAACAUGCCCAGGGCUACUUUAAAAGCCCAUCAUGUUUUAGCAGAUUCAAGCCCAAAAUCUAUUGGAAGGUAAAAAGUUGGCCCAUGCAGGUCUCGAACCUGCGANGACGCUCUAACCAGCUGAGCUAAUAGGCCAGAUGCCAUUACAACAUUGAGUGGUAAAUAACUCGUGAAAUUAUGAAAUCGCUUGUUUCCCAAAAGUACUCGAAACGAAUUACAGUCGCGAAUCUUCUAGUUGAUGAUUUUCGCUUUUAAUUCAUUUAUUAUUUUUGAAUAGUACUUGCAAACAAAUCUUAAUAAUUGGAACGUAAUUAAAUUUUCAUACACAAAAUUAUAUAUUACAGUACUAACUUGUCCUCGAAAAUGUUUUCAAAAUAUAUAUCAAAUUUAAACAUAUUUCUUCUUAUGUUUUGAGAUUCUGUACAUUUAAGUUCUAAUUUAAGAAAAAAAAUACAAAUCAUAUAUAGUUUUAUUCUUCCAGAGGCACAUAUUUCCUCCGUUUCACUCAUUUUUAUGUUAUUUUUUUUAACGUAACAUAUAUUUUAAUUUUUUCUUAAUGAAAGUUUAAAUAUUAUAUUUUUUAUUUAUAAGUUAAUUAAAAUUACUUAUAAAAUUAUAUUUAAAAAAACAUUAAAAUGCGUGACCGUGUAUAAUUUAUGAGAAGGAGCCAAUAGAAAAAAGGGAUUAAUAAUUUAAAAGUAAAAAAUAAUUAAAUUCCCGAAUAAGGCAAACACCCUAAAAUUACACGAAUGCCGUUCAGAAAAAGUACAUACACAUACAGAGAGAGUAUAUAAGACCGCCGCUCAUCAUCAUCAUAUUUGACUGAAAUCAAAUCUUCUAAAACCCUAGACUAUCUCAUUCAACUCUAUUCAAGGUACACCUUUCAAUUACAUAUAUACAUACAUAGAUACAUACAGAUUUCAAGCUAACGUAUAGAAUCGUUGUGUGCAGUUAAUAUAGCUGAUUGCAAUGUCCGGUGCGACCGAGACUAGCUUGACUUGUGCUCGUUGCGGCAAGCCUGCUAAUCUCCAGUACGUUUUUAUAUAUAUAUAUAUNNNNNNNNNNNNNNNNNNNNNNNNNNNNUAUAUAUAUAUAUAUAUAUAUAUAUAUAUAUAUAUAUAUAUAUAUAUAUUUUAUUAUUUAUUUAUAUUGUUGAUGCUUUUGUGUUGACGAUUAAAUUGCGUGAAAUCUGUUUAUUGAAUUCUUAUCCGUGGAGGAAUUGUAAUUGUAAGUAACAAAUAUGAUUGCGAUUAAGUCUGAAGCUGUAUUGGCGUAGCUGUACAGGUUGGUUGGUUAUAACGAUUUUGUUUGGGGUGCGAGGCGGUUUAGUUUGUUAGGUGUAUUUUACUGCGGUGAGGUGGAGGCGGAGAGGGGUGUAUUCGAUUGAGAUUUUAAUGGAUUGUUUUUAGUCUAUGGAUUUUAAUGGAUUGUGUUUGAUUUUGAUUUUGUGCGGAUUCUUGAUAAAAUGUCGCAGAGUUGAUAGGAUUUAAGCACAAUGCUUCAAAAUCCCAUUGAGUUUGAUGGGAUUUCAAAAAACUUAAAAUACACUGAAGAAUGCCACAAAAUCCUUCAUUUUAUGAAAUGCAAAAAAAUCCAUCAGCAUUUGAAUACCAUCAGAUUUUAAUGGAUUUCAAAUAAUCCCAAUCGAAUACCCUCGGAUUUCAUGAAUGCAAAAAAAUGCUUUAAAAUCCCAAUCCAAUACACCCCUCUUAAAAUACACUGAAGAAUGCCACAAAAUCCUUCAUUUUAUGAAAUGCAAAAAAAUCCAUCAGCAUUUGAAUACCAUCAGAUUUUAAUGGAUUUUAAACAAUCCCAAUUGAAUACCAUCGGAUUUUAAAGCAUAAUUUAAAAUCCCAAUUGAAUACCACCAGAUUUUGUAGCAUAAUUUGAAAUCCCAAUUGAAUAACUCAAGAUUUUAAUGGAUUUCAAACAAUUCUAAUCGAAUACUCUCGGAUUUCAUGAAUGCAAAAAAAUGCUUUAAAAUCUCAAUCCAAUACACCCCAAAUGUUCUAGUUGUAGUAGAGAGGCUGUUUCGUGAGGAUUUGUUGAUUCAUUGUUUGUUAAUUUUUUUGAAACACCUAAGUUUUAUGUGAAUGUUGGUGAGUAUGAGGUUGUUUGUCUGGGCUUUAAGCCCCUGUGCUCAAAACCAUCUUCGGCUUUAAGAUAAAAAUUGUGUAAUAAGUCAGAAGUCAACUUAAAUUUGACAAUAAGUCAGAAACUGACUUAAAAGCCAGAAGCUUGUAAAAACUUAUUUUAUUUUAAUAAUUUUCUAAAUAAAAUUCAACCUCAACACUAAAAUAAAUAAUCUAUCAAAUUUAAUUCUUUAGUAUAUUUUUUAAUAAUUCAUAAGUAAUUUAUAAUAUAAAAUUACCCAAACACACAAUUUAAGCUGACAACUUAUUACAUUAAGUCACUGUAGCCAUAAGUCAUUAUUUUAAGCCUACCCAAACAGCUUCAUAUGUAUUUUUAAAAUUUUAAUACUAAUGAUACAAUCCUUCUUUACUUGUAUGUUUUCCCUCUACUUUCAGGUGUCCAAAGUGUGUGGAAUUAAAGCUUCCUUGUGAAGGUGCUGCCUUCUGGUUCGUUAAUUUCCUACCCCCCCUCUCUCCGGCACUAGACAGCUAUUUUCAUCUUAGAGUAACCAUGCCAAACUAGCUUAAAUGUUUUUGCCAAAUAAUUUGAAGUGAUUGCUUUUGCUACAUGUAAGAAAGAUAAUGCUAUAAUUUGCACUUUCACAAUUGCUCUUAAACUGAAGAAUUUAGAAUUUUGGAUAUAUUUUGACCUUUUGUCUGUAGUGUCCUGCUAUUUUUUUUAUGCCACUCAUGUGUCUGUGUAUUGACCGAGUUGAUUUCCUUAACAGCACGCAAGACUGUUUUAAAGCUUCCUGGAGUUCUCAUAAGUCUAUUCACCAGAAAGCAAAGUUGUCUUGUGAAAAUGAUACCGGAGCUGAACAGAAUUCAGUGGCACCAAAUGACUGGCUAUACUGUACAAGAAAAGGACAAUCUCGAACACCUAAACUUCCCAUCUUUGAUUGGACAGGGUAUAUCUUUUGCCUAGUAAUUGCUCUCUUUUUUUUCUUGACGAGGUUUAUGGUUCGUAAAUUUGGUGGUAGCACAUUAAUUUUAAGAGUAUUUUUCACUAUGCAUCCCUCGGCUCUGGGAUCAAUAGUUCUAGAAAUUGCGCUGUGCAUCCUUUGAAUUAUAAAUCUGCAACAUAGAGAAAAUUUUGAAUAAAAUCUGACGGAGAAAUCCUAUAGAGAGAUUAGACAGUUAUUUAUAUAUACAGCGAGACAGACUUGGGGAAGAACACUAACAAACUUCCAUUCAUAAUCUGAACAAUGAGAACUUUGAGGGCUUGUAGUAUCCAUAUACAAGACUAACUAACUAGCAUACUUGACUUGGUUUUACUUGACUAAUAGUACUGUAGCUGCUUACUAGUAGCUAUUCUUACAAAAUAUCAGCGCUCAACUGAGGAUAUGUCCUAAUGAUACUCAGACAAUAAUUACUAAACCUUUAACUUAAAAUAAGUAUUGAAUCUGGACAAGUGAAUUAGUUCUCUAUUUUCAUGUAUGCAGGACUCUGAAGCCAUAUCCCAUAUCAAAGCCUCGUCUUGUACCUGCUCACAUCGAUAAACCUGACUGGGCGAUUGAUGUAAGUUGCUUAUAUAUAAUAUAAAUAUUAAUCAGUUCUACUCAGUGAUAGUUGCUGUGGGAAAUUUUGAUAUUUCAUGGAUGAGAUUUAAUGUAGCUUAAAAUAUACAAUCCCUGAUAUUAAAUGAGCUUGAUUUUUGCAAAGUAUCUUUUCUAAGAAGAUUUCAAGCAGUAUGUGUUUGCUUCCUGCCUUCUUUUUAUAUUUUCUCCCUGCUUUCUUUAACUUUUAUUUGUUAUUAUCUCUGUAGGGAACUCCAAAAAUAGAGCCUAGUAGUGAUCUUCAGCGUGUUGUCGAGGUACUAUGAUUUCAGAUAAUAGUUCUCCUAUGAGAUGAAAAGGGAACAUUUUUCUUAUAUACUUUUAAUUACGAGGUCUAAUUGGUCUUCCUUUCUCGUUUCCAAUUCUUGAAGAUUAAAACACCUGAACAAAUCGAGAGGAUGAGGGAAACUUGCCGAGUAAGUUUUCAUCUUGGUUUUAAAUAUUUUAGAAUUGCAUUGUUGUAGAAUAUAUAAACCCUACUACUUCUGACUACAAAUAUAAGUACAACAUAGAGAAUCCCUCUCAGUUUACAUAUAUUAGUUAAUAUUUUGUGCCUGGUUGACGCAAUGAGUCACUGAGGUGUACCCGAUGGUUGAUAUAACUAACAUUCUGAUGUAGGUCAAGGACAUAAAAUUUGAAGACCUCCUUUUUUCUAUAUAUGCACUUAUAACCCUCUUACCAAUAAUAUAUCGUGAAACAUAAUAAGAAUGUUCUGCGCAGCAUGCUAUCAUAAAGACACUCGUGGUUAGCAUGAAAGAUAGUGUGGAUUUUAGCAGGAAAACGGAAAUAUUAGCUAAUCUUCGUCUGAUAGAUAUUUGCACAUUACAGUAAAUAGUAGGUGCCAAAUGUUGUCACGCUUAAAGGGAUAGCAAAUUAUUGUAUAAACUUCUAAAAAUUGCAUAUAAAAGCCAAAGAUAUCAGUAGGAAAGAGCAGCAAAUUAAAUAGAUAAACAAUCAGUUGCCUUGUAGAGGUCAACAAGGUCAUAGGUCAGAAAGGGCGAGAACUACAGUAAACACUGUUAUGACAUGUGCUACUCAGUUAAAGUAUAUGGUUUAUAUAAAGUAUGUUUUUAUCAGAUUGCUAGAGAAGUUUUGGAUGCAGCUGCUCGUGUUAUUCGACCAGGUGUCACCACCGAUGAAAUUGAUGCUGUAGUUCAUGAGGCAACAAUAGCUGCUGGUAAGUUCACUUUAUCAAAAAACUUAAUAUGUUUUAUUAUCUCGGGCAUUCUAGGUCAUUUUUAUUAUCUUCUUCUAAAUGAUAUUUAUGUCUUUGACUAAAUCUUCUGGAUGUACUAUACAGGAGGAUAUCCAUCACCCUUAAAUUAUUACUUCUUCCCAAAGUCUUGCUGCACGUAGGUACUCUCUUCUUUGUACAUAUGGGGUGUGUGUGUGUGUGUGUGUCAAUGUGUGUUGCUAACAGAUACCCUAAAUCAGUAGGUUAUACAUAAGUCACUGUCCAUUGAUUGCAGGUCAGUCAAUGAAGUAAUCUGCCACGGGAUUCCUGAUGCUAGGUAUGUGUUAUGUUCUGCCAUGGACGCUCGCUAUCUCGAACUUGAGUUUUCCAUUCCUAAACAUAAGUACUAAAAUAUGUUUGAGAUCUUAUGAUUUGAGAUUUGAAGCUGUAUAUGUUUAUUCAUGCCAAUCCUCUAAAUGCAUUUAUAUUCUUCCUGUCAAUCUUGUAAAUUUGUUUUAUAGUUCUUCUCUAUAAUGUUCCAGGAAAUUAGAGGAUGGGGAUAUUGUAAAUGUUGAUGUAACUGUAUACUUCAAAGGAGUUCAUGGUAAGAAGAGUAUGUUGUCUUUAUAUUUAUUAAAAAAAUUCUACAACAGUAGCUAAUUUCUCUAUUAGUGUCAUUGGCUGACUUGCUGCUCAUUAUGCAGGUGAUCUCAAUGAAACAUUCUUUGUCGGAACUGUUGACGAGGCAUCUCGACAGCUGGUUCAAUGUACUUACGAGUGUUUGGAGAAAGCAAUUGCAAUUGGUUGGUGUUUCUUACUUGUUCAGUCUCUCUCCAAGGCAAAAGCCAAGGACAUCUUGUAAUUAAGUCCAGAAAAAAUAGAAAUAACUUACUCCUGGUUUAGUAAAUGACAAAAAACAAAUUCAAUAGUUACUUUAGUGUCAUGACUCAUGCUACAUUAGAUUCAAAUUUUAUUUGGCAUUCAUGGAACUGAUAUGAGACUGCAGUAUACUACCUAAGUAGAAAAGCAUAUGCUUUAAUUAAAUUUUUGUGUGCAUCCAAAUGCAAAGUAAAUUGCAUUUCAACGUUGCAUUAAGUUGUGUUUAGAAAUAUUUUAUAUGUGAGGUCAAACUAACAAAGAUCCAGCUACUGCUAUAUUUAUAUAUCUAGGUUUUCAAGAACGUGAAAGAGCAAUGUUUUUGUGAUGUAGGCUCUGUUACUCUGACUCUUCUGUUUAGAUAGUUGUACUUGUGACCGGUUUAUCAAAAGUUUAUUGAUCCAACUUUUAAUGUGUGCGGUUGCUCAUGACACUUUUUGUCUGCUUUAAAGCAGCCGUGCUUUGAAGUGUCAUGAGCAACCGCACAAAUUAAAGUUGGAUCAAUAAACUCCUAGGCACGUAGACAUGCUUUUGAAAUCUUACAGCAGGGUAAGUACCUAAUUGUGUCAAUGGGAUUGAUAGUAGGUUGUCAUAUUCUCUUUCUGCACAAAUAUGAGUAAUCAGGUGUUGGCAUGUAUAUGAUAUGUUUAGCUUUUUUUCGGACCUUCAAAUUUUUAUGUUCUUAUAUUUAGAUAUGCUGUUUUACAGUUAAACCUGGAGUACGAUUUCGAGAAAUUGGGGAAAUUAUUAAUCGCCAUGCUCUAAUGUCAGGGCUCUCUGUGGUAAUAUACAAAGAACUUUUACGUUUCUCUCUUUCAAUCAAUUCAUCUUAUCCUUCAGUUAUUUAAUACCAUCAUUGUUUUCUUGUGAUAAUAGGUGAAGUCAUAUUGUGGUCAUGGAAUUGGAGAGCUUUUCCAUUGUGCACCAAAUAUUCCUCACUACGCAAGUAUCCUUUGAUAUAGCUUCUGAGCCUGAUUGCUUUCUAGUUGAUAGGUACUCUCGAAUUGAUGUUUUGGUAAGAAGUGCAUAAUGUUUAGUGCAUACAAGUUGAAGCUACAAAUUGAAAAAAAUAGCCUUGUAGAGUCGUCUUUGUGCUGUAAAUUUUGUAAUGACCUUGACGUAAUAAGGAAAUAAAAUGGUGGGUAUAAUGAAGCCUGGGCAGACCUUUACCAUUGAACCUAUGAUUAAUGCAGGUAACUGUUGCUGAUUUUGUUAAACAGAACUCUUUAUUUAGUUGCUGUUAUGCAAGACUUACCAAAAAUGUUAACUAUAGGUAAUUGGCGUGAUCGGAUGUGGCCUGAUGGUUGGACUGCUGUCACAGCUGAUGGAAAACGAAGUGCUCAGUUUGAACACACACUUCUGGUAACUAUUCAGUUAUAAAUUUCAUGAUUUAUAACGAUGUGUUACGCAAUUGUACACUGGUCAUCAGUGCCUUUGUCUGGUUAUGCAUCCCCUCAUCUUAUUGAGUACUUGUCAUCAAUGCCUUUGUCUUGUUAUGCAUCCCCUUGUCUUAUUGUGCACUUGUCACCAAUGCCCUUGUUUUUUCAUGCAUUCUCGCAUAAUUCCCAUAGCCAGCUAAAAUACACUAUUACCUGCAAUGUAUCUCUGUUGUAAUCCUGUGCUUUUAUCUUUCACUUGAAAGGUAUUGUGCCAGUAUCUCCUUGAAUAUUCUAAUGGAAUUUUAUUCUUGCAAUAACAUAAAUAAUCCGUUAUCCGCUGUAGUAGCAGUAAUAGAACCAUGUUCGAACAUACAUUCAGGUUGAUAAAUAGAGUACCUUUUAUACAAUCUGCAACUAUAUUUGUUGUACGUCUAACAAAGAAAAUUGACACAUUACUUAAGGGCUCAAGAAGGUUCUUACAGUCUGAAACUGUAUUAUUAAAACAAUACAACAGAAGCGGAACUUAUGUUCAUUUUACUCCUUAAUGCUUGUACCACUACCAGACUGUCACUUUCUACCUCAAAUCCCGAUCAUCCCUUCCCUUUGAUCCAACUCAAAGACUCUUUCAAGUAAAUAUAUGAGUGAUAUUAAGUAAGGAGACUAUUAUGUUUUUAACAGUCAGCCACGCUAUCAAAUUGGGUGCUUUAGGCAAUGCCUCUCAAAUGUAGGCCUUUGCGCUGCGCACUCACAUAGCUAAGGUGAAGAGAUUAAGAGUGGAAACCAUUUGUAUUCGUUGGCAAUAUGAAUAGUUGUCCCUACUCGUCAUUGUACCCUUGCAUUUUGUUAGAAUUAUGUUCUAGGUCUUUGUUCAUUUAAGUUUUGCCCUUUGUGGUAUUUACAUUCUCAUUGCCCAGAAGUUCUUUGAAUAUAUGUCUCUGUGAUUAUAACUGUAACAUCCCCCAGUCCCACAUUGAGGAGUGUUGAGACUUUAGUUCAGUUUAUAAGCACAAGUACUAAUACCAAUUACACCAAUAAAUCAUGAUCUUUUGGGGGCUUGUAGUGGGUUUUUGGAUUACCCAAGUUGUUGCAGUUGGACUAGUUUAUUUCAGCUUAUUUUCGGAUUCGAAAUUUGGGACUUGAUUAGAUUUUCGGAAAAGACUUGGAAUUGACCCGGGUUGUCACAUAUGGUAUCAGAGCCAACUCUCGAGAGCUUGAUUCGUCAAGUUGCCGGAGGUGGGGACACGAAGGCUGGUGGUAUUAUCCCAUAAUGGAAAGAAUCCGGAGAUGGGGACACAAAGCCAACAGGCGCCGGUGUUAUCCCACAAUGACUAGAGAGGUACGAUCUGCGCCUCUGGGCUAUCCGUUUCGGCCGGACGAAGACGUUAAGAAUUUAAGUGGGGAAGGUUAUAACACCCCGUCCCACAUCUAUAAUGGCCUAGUUUGCUCCAAAGAUUUGAACUCGCAUAUUUCUAGUAUUUCAUAGAGUUGUCACUUUAUUCAAAAUUUAUGUCAAACUAUAAUUUCUUCGAAUUAAACUGUAAUAUCGUUGCAUUUGGAUUUUUAUUUUUUAAAAUUUAUGACAUUUGAGAUGUAAUUAAAAGUUAUUUACUUAAAAGGUUGGGUCGUUAAAGUUGGUAUCAGAGCCAGGUUAACUUCCUGUAGAUUGCCUUUUAGGCGUGACCUGUGUGUUGAGGUUUUAAAAAAAAUUAAUAUUUUCUUGUGGCUUUUGUAGAUGGCAGAUGAGUAUAUUGAGGUUGAGAUGAUUGUCAUUGAGGAUCCCGUUGAUAGUUCACAAUCACUUUUAUCAGAUUAUGACCCUACCUCAGACAGUGACGAUUCUGUUAAUAAUUUUGACCUUGAUAGUGAUAGUGAGGGACCGAUAGAAAAAAAUCCUGGAGAGAUCAUUAAUGGCCCUGUAAGAAGUCUGAACUUCAGAUGGAAAUUGAAAGUUUUCGAGCUAAGUUAGCGGAGGCAAACUUGAAACUAGAGACAGCUGAGCACCGACUAGUAGUGUUACAAAAGCAUUUAGUUGGAGGUUGCGACAGAUUUCUUGGUUCUUCAUUCAGGGGUAGAUGUGUAAAUAAGAGUGCCAAAAAGCACAUUAAGAGUUUUGUAAAAGAAACACGAGUUGAGGUCUUACGAUGAGUUGCAGUUUUAGGGGAUGUUUUAAGAGGUGGUCAUCAUUAUGAUCACCCUCUCUCUACGAGUUCUUCCCUUCAGACAACUAUUCAUCUGAUUAGAUAUUUUAGUGAACUUCAAGUCGUGUGUAGUGGAGAGUAUUCAAAGAAAGGUUAUUUGCUUAAAAAGUUGGGUCAUUACAGUUAAAUAACGUUUGUGUACAUGCUAAAUGUCAAAGGAUUAUGGGCUUUCUCCAUCUACAAAAAGGAUGAGCGAAUGGAUAAAAAAGCUUCACGAAUGACAGCUUGCUCACCCUUUUGGGUCUGCUUUGGAGUGCAUUUAGUAUAAAUCUGCUUCAAUGGCAUUGGCAGAUUUAUAAUAUACACGGAAUUUUGAACACUCCACUACACAUGACUUAGAGUUCACUAAAAUAUCUAAUCAUAUAAAUAGUUGUCUGAAGGGGAAGAACUCGUAAAGGGAGGGUAAUCAUAAUGAAGACAUCAUCUUAAAUCAUCCCCUGCAACUACAACACUCCGUAAGACCUCAACUCAUGUUUCUUUUGCAAAACUCUUAAUGUGCUUUUUGACACUCUUAUUUACACAUCUACCCCUUAAUGAAGAACCAAGAAUUCUGUCAGUGCCCUCAACUAAAUGCUCUCGUAACACUACUAGUCGGUGCUCAGCUAUCUCUAGUUUCAAGUUUGCCUCCUCUAACUCAGCUCGAAGACUUUCAAUUUCAAUCUCAAGUUCAGGCUUCUUAGCAGGGUCAUUAAUGAUCUCUCCAGGAUUUUCUUCUAUCGGUCCCUCACUAUCAGAAUCAAGGUCAAAAUUAUAAACAGAAUCGUCACUGUCUGAGCUAGGGUCAUAAUCUGAUGAAAGUGAUGGUGAACUAUCAACAGGAUCCUCAAUGUUAGACAUCUCAACCUCAAUAUACUCAUCUGCCAUCUACAUAAGCCACAAGAAAAUAUUAAUUUUUUUAAAACCUCAACUCACAGGUCACGCCUAAAAGGCAGUCUACAGGAAGUUUACCUGGCUCUAAUACCAACUGUAACGACCCAACUUUUCAAGUAAAUAACUUUUAUUUACAUCUCAAAUGUCAUAAAUUUAACAAAAUGGAAUCCAAAUGCAACGAUAUUACAAUUUAACUCGAAGAAAUUAUAGUCUGACAUAAAUUUUGAAUAAAGUGACAACUCUAUAAAAUACUAGAAUUAAGCAAGUUCAAAUCUUUGGAGCAAACUAAGUCAAUUCUCUCCCGAUCCGAAAAUUAAGCACCUGAAUAUUUGUAAUUUCAUAACUUCCAUAAAUCCAGAUUCAUUAUUCAAAUUUAUAAUUCAUAGUGACAUAAGGUAAUUCCACAGCUCGCUAAGGUCACAAAUCUCCGAUGACUUGGUAUCAUAAGUUCAUAAUUUGUUACUAAUGCACCAUUUACUUAGAUAUCAAAAAGUGUGCGACCCCGAAGAUAUUAUAACAGACACUCCUUAGUAAGGUAUUAUAGGUUAGUUCCGGAACUAUACGCAGAUACUAACGGUUCCAUAGGUUAGUAGAGCUAACUGGGAUAUCUAAAAUAUUUAGCUUGAUUCAAAUAUUUAAAAAAAAUAAAGCUUCAUAUAAAUAAAAUGGCUACACCGAUGCACAAUAUUGAAUGAUCAAAUGAUUUCCUAACAAAUUAAAAAAAAACUUACUAAAUAUCUAAUAUAAAUUUAAAUAAUUAAAUAAAAUACCAUGACAAGAUUUUAAAACAGAGACACUACAAAAUAUCAGUACUAUUACACGUUGCACCCGGUUUACAUAUUAAUAAAAUAACUUAAACAUGAAAUAAUAACAAGUUCACAUAUUACUUAUAAAUAAUAUAACGAAUUUUCUAUGGUGUGCCCAUGGGCACACAAUAGUCACUAACUCCCAUGACAAUACUAGCUUUUGAUUGGUGGAUGGAUAAUAAAUGUUCAUGGCCCCCCUGCAUUUACAACAAUUCCACCAAUCAAAAGAAGCCAUUUUCAUGAGAGUUGGUGCUUAAUGUGUGCCCUUGGACACACAUUAGAAAGACCGAUAAUAUAAUUAUACAUAAUAAAUUUAACUUGACACAUAAUUAAAUAUGCAACUUAUAACCUAAUAUAUAAACUAUACCUUAGCACUGGUUUACAAAAUUUAUUAGUGGGAAUAAUUAAAUAUAACAAUUGAUCAUAUAACUAAUCUUAACAAUUAUAUAAAUAAAUACAAGAAGAUAUAAACUAAGUACAUACACUAAUUAUAAUACUUUCUAUAAACCAAUACAAGCACAUAUAAACCAAUUUUAUAUUAUAUACACAGUCAACAUUAUUUUCACGUGAACAUGUACAAUUAUAACCUACACUGUUUUUGUGCAGGUAAACACAUGAAGCCCACUCAAACAAAGCCCGCUCAAACAAGCCCAUCCAUCACUUCUAAACAUAUUAUAAAUAAUUCACAAUUUAGCUCUGUCUGUCUCUGUCCAUAUCCCAAGGACUCCCAGUAAGAUGAAUUGAACAAAAAUGAAUGAUUUAUACCUAUGUAGCCAAUCAAAUAUAAACAUAUAAUUUAAAUAAUCUCGUAAUACACAAAUCUCCACAAAUAUUUACUAAACAAUUUUGUUUUUAAAUAUACAAGUAAACAUUAGUCUUAUAAUAAAAAAUAUUACUAUAAUAAUGGACAAGAAUGACAUAAAAUAAUAAUAUUUUUAAUAAAAUAAUUUAUAUUAAAUACAUAAAUCUGAUAUAAUUCAUAAAAGAAUAACAUGCAUAUUAAAUUAUAAAAUCAAAGAUAUUCAUAUCCAAAUUUCAGAAAUUAAUUAUAAAUAUAAUUUUAAUCACUCCAAAAUAACUUCAGGAUCUAAUGAAAAUCAUACUCAAUUAUAUACUAAAGCAAAAUAACGAACGAAAGAUAAAAGCAUGAGACCUUAAAAACUGGAUAUUACAUAGACACUUAAUGAUAGAAGACAUAUAAUAUGCAGUAGCCAACAACAAUAUGUGUAAAACUAGGAAGAAUAGACAUGUAUAUACACAAUGACAAACUAAAUUCAAUGUACUAAACAUGUUAUACAUAUAAUAUCAAAUAUUAGUAGAGAGUAUAGAACCGAGCAGAGCACAUAAGCAGAGACAUAAACCUAAACAUAGACGUAGCUUGUAAAAAAGAGCUGUUCAAAAAAUAAGUGAAGCAAGUACGUAUAUUUAUGUACAUAAUUAGUUCAACGUGUUCCUACAAUUAUGAGUACGUGAUCACUAUUUCAAAUUAUUUUAAAUUAAUAUCUAACCACUCACUGCGGAAGUUUUGACUUAAGUCUUUGUUUAAAGAUAACACAUAAGUAUAUAAAUAUUUUAUAAAGUAACAACACCUGUAUUAAAAUUUUAAUCACAUAAGGAAUAUAUUUUAUCAAAGUUUUAGACACCACUAAAAAGUUUUUUUUUUUUAAAACAAAGAAAACACGGGUUAUCACAAUAACUCUCCUAAAUAGAUUCUUGAUCACCUUUUUUGAGCCUUUCUGAUCUCGUUAAUCUCGAGAUGAGAUGGCUAAGUUUGAUUCACCAUGUCUGCGUUGCCAUUGCCGGUUUAAGCCAUUAUCAUCCCUGGUCUGAAUCAAGCAACUUUCACUUGAACCUCACUCCACUGCUUCAAAACAAAUCCAAUUUGCAUUAUACCCAACAUCAGUUAUUCGCAGAAAUAUAUUCUGCCACACUUCUUUGUUUCUGGCGUCCCAGAUCAUGCCAUUAUUGUCCAGAAAUCUACUUCUGAGAUUAUACUUUGUUAACGAACUUCCAGAAGCAGUCCUCCACACGGACUUUUUGAUUCUCAGAGUAAUCUUUGAAUCUGUUCUGUAACUUACGGAAUUUUGACAAAAUUAACUGGUCCAAUUUAAAAAUUACUGGAACUCAGAUUUGGAUAGUUACUUGACAUUAGAAGCUUCCGGUGUACACAACCAAACCAAUUUGAAAGUUUAUUAAAACAUAAAGUAUUUCUAACUUAUUUCUAUUUAUAUGGAUGACUUGUGAAAAUCCAAGUAUUAAUGGCUCUUCCUUCAUACCUGGGAUGUAAAGAGUUUGAGGUUUGUAUGUCAACUGCAAUAUCUUUGUUCUUACGGGUAAUGUGUAUGUAGGUGACGGAAACAGGAGUUGAAGUUUUAACAGCUCGUUUACCUACAUCCCCCGAUAUGUUCCCCUGGUUGAAGUCCUAAUUAGUUCUGCACAACGUUUUGCACUUGAAAAGCUGGAUCUCGCAAGAAUGCGCAAUAGUUGGUUUGAUGUUUUGUUGUUGCAGUUAAAAAGCUGGAUCUCAGGGAAUGACUCAAUAGUUGGUUUGAUAUUUGAUUUAUUUGCCCCUUUCUUGGAACCAAUUCUGCUGUACUUCAGUACUUGUAUCUUAUUAGACGAUCUUUGGACAGGUUUAAUUACCAUCACAUUUUCAUGAAUUUGCUUCAACUUUCAUGUUACAACACACAAAACACAUAUUACUUUGAUUUGGCUUUUAAAAUAUUUGAGACAGUAGUCUUAUUACUGGCUUUUAGAGGAAAAUUGACAGCUAUACUAAUGAAGCUCGAGAAUUUUGGUAUAAAUUUAAGUUUGCCAGCUUUAGUCGGUAAAGCUGGCUAGGCUCAGUUGAUUGUAUAAAACGCCUGUGUAUUCGAAGUAUUUUUCCAUUCGAACUCUGCUCCAGAACAAAUUUAAAGAACAGUUCACACGGGUUUGACUGUUUUCAUAUAGAAAUUUGUGAAAGGAGAUGGAGAGUACGGGAGUGUUGCAUAUAAAUUUAAAUUUGAUUAAUUCUCAAUAACUCCCAACUCAACGUACAAAAUGAAACAUAUAUGUAUUUAUCUAGAAUAAGUGUAAAUUUUGAAAGUUUUCCGAAAUUCAUUAAAGUAAUGGGAAUCUUAUUAUUUAUUGAUUAUAAUUCGUGUUCGUGAUGAGCUACUUACAUUUAAUUUGUUCUUCCACGAAAGAAAGAAAAAAGAAACAGAUAUCAGAGCCUACAGCAAUUCUUCCUAAUUCAGUGCAAAUCUAUUUGCUGGUUAAAUGAAAAUGGCAGACACAAAUAAAUUUAAGGCAUUAAAUAAUUAUAUGGAAUUCGAUCACGAAAACCGCUCUAUCACAUGCGUCAUGCGCAAAAAUACUUUGAAGCUAGCUAAGUCAAAGCCUUGCUUGCUGCCAGAAGAUGAUCUCAACAUGCUGCCUGCACCAAGUGCGGUCGAAGUAUUAGCUGCACUUCAGAGCACGACCGGCACUUGUGCUUUCAAGCUGCACGAUAUGUUUCCGUAAUUCGAAACUUUGUAAUGGAAACAAAUUAAAAUUUUAGAUAGAUUGGUUUUUAACAUGAUAUCAAAACUCGAUUUGAUGAAUGUCUCAAGUUUUUAGAUCGACGGAUUCUCAAUACUUUGUAAUAUAACCCUACGAAAUGCAAGGACUUGAUUUUCGAAUUUCCAUAUAUUGUGUAAGUAUAUUAACAUAAAAAUGAAGAAGAUAAAGAACAAACAAUUAACAACAUAUCAUCACAAACCAACUAGUUACAACAAUCAUGGCUUCUUGGCCCGGAACGAGGCUCGAUGUCUAGCAGUGUACCCAUUAAACAACGCCAAUGCAUUGCUAGUCACCUGCGCCACAUUCAACACCUUGGCCUUAAUCGUCGCCUUCACCUUGCUCUUAAUCGUAUACGCCGAAAACCCAUCAAUACACUGCGUGGCAUCCGUGAGAGCAGCGCUCACCCAGCUCUGCACAUUACUCUCGUGCCACAAGAACUGCUUCUCCCCAUCCACACUCAUCUGCCGAAACUCCUUAACCGACUGCGCGAUCUGCGUCACUCCGUCGUUGAUCUGGUUAAGACAGUCUUCGACCGCGGCGUAGUCGGGGGUUCGUGUCUGUUGGAGCUGUUUCGCCACGCUGAUGACGUAAGCCCUGGUGAACCUAGCCCUAGAGAGGCUGACGGAGAGUGCAACUUGAGCUAGUUGCUGUUGAGUAUGGAUUUUUGAGUUUACGUAAGGCAAGAGGCCGCGGACGCAGAGGUCCGUGUAUCGGGUUGUUCGGCAUUGCGCCUCCACGAAAGCCCGUGAUCGGGAACAUCUGCGGCAGGCUGGCUCCGCCAGGCCGGAGAGGCAAAAAAUGGUUAAGAGGAUGACCAAAAAAGUGAGGCUGAUUUGUGCCAUGAGUAAUUAAUUAUUGUGAAAAAACCGAGUUUUUAAGCUCAAAAAUGGUUUUGCUAUGAGUUGAUGAUGAUGAUUAUGGAGCUUGUUGAUGUGAUGAUUAUGGAAGAGUGUUGUUUAGGGUUUAUAUAGAGAGGUCUUCACAUGAAUAAAUUCUUUGACACUAGAAAUUUUAGUUAUUUUAUUAAUUUAUGAUCACGUCCAGAUUUAACACACGUGCAUUAGGUUUCCAGGAAGCAACCAAAUAAGAUGGGAUCUCAUAAACAAAUAAAUUUGAACCUAAACUUGUGUUCAAGUAACUAACAUAAAUUCUUACACGUAAAUGAAAUAAUUACUUUAUUUUCAUUAUCAAUUAAUUACUUUAUUUUUUCAUAUUUGUUUUGGACGUAUUUCAAAUUAAGGCAAGGCAAACGGACAAGAUAUCUCUUUUGCAUACAUGUACUGUUAGAGCACUUUUUUUUUUCAUCGAACCCAGGUUCAUAUGUUAAUUUGUUAUUUAUUAGAUAUAAUUUGUUACAAUAUAAAUUAAACUAAUAUUUAACAACUUCUUAUACCGUAGUUACAAAUCCAAACUGAUUAAAAUUUUAAUUAGUUUACUUAGAAUUUUAUCUAUGCGGUGACCGUUUAUUUUUCAUGACCAUAAAUACAUUAAACUCCAUCAAAUUUUGUUGAAAUAAUUAACAUAUUGAUAAAUUUCAAUUAUUCUAUUGAUCAAUCAAUAAUUAUUACAUUAACAUACUACACCAAUGAGUUAAUCAUCUAUUAGCGGAUAACUACUUUAAUGUGUGUGCUCUUAUAAUUAUUUAUAUAUUAAAUUGUGUAUCUUAUUGGACAAAUACAUAAUAUUAUAGGAAUGUUACUCUUCAUGUACGCAUGUUAAUUUAACGCUAGCAAGACGGCUUACAGGCAGCUAAAGGGAAAACUGGUAAACCACUGCAGAUAUCAAGUAAAAUUACCAAGAAAAUAAUACUGUAAUAAUAGUGCUAUGAACAGUUGACUUUAGUAAUGCAAUUCAAAUCUGAUAAUUAUUCGAUCUGAUCCAAGAAAUGAUAUUAAAAUCGAAGAAGAUUUUUGACCAAGGGAGACGUUAGAACGAAUGCCACCGAGCCACAGCUAAUUAGGAACAAAGCUACUGAUACCGCGGCAACUUGUUUGCAGCAACUAGGACAGGAGAUCGCUUAGCAAAUGUGUUUAUUGGAUUUAACUAUUAAUUACUUGUAUUAUUCACCAUGUUUAAAUUAAUAAAUAUGUAAAUCUGAAUUGCAAGAUACAAUCUUAUAAAUUAUUUUUCUAGAAAGUAAACUUCUUCGUUCUUUGCUGUAUGUCCGCACGUAACCAAUUGUUUAAACUUAAUUUAUACUUCUGUUGAACAACAGUUUAUCUCUUCCUUUUUACAGCUUGCACUGUUUAGCCCGACCAGUUGGAGGGUCUCUUUGAAUUUGUUUUAAAAAAGACAACUUGAAGUGAUUAUGAGCUUUGUUUGUGUGUGUUUUAAAUCAGGUGUUUAAAAUUGUUCUAAUUUUGCUUAGCAAAAAAAAAAAAAUGUUCUGAUUUUAAACUGAAAAAAUACUCUAUUUUUUUAAUAACCAUGAACUAACUUAAAAUCAAAAUUAAGUUAGAAAUUGACAUAAAGUCAUAAGUUAGUUACUAAAAAAAAAAAAGUCAUAAGUUAGUUUAAAAUAUAUUUUUUCAAAAAUUUAAUUUUUUAAGCUUUUUUCAAGAAUUAUAAAUCAUAAAUGACCAAUAUAUCACUUUUAUUGUUAUUAUUACAUUUUAAAUUUUUAAUAACUCCCUUACAAAAAAAAUAAAUUAAUAACUCAUAAAUCACUAAUAAAUCACAUUAAAUCAUGUUAAAUUAUAAGUCAAAAUUUUAAACUUAACCAAACGGACUCUAUAAAUGUAGAUGUCAAUUUUAAGGUUUCAAGAGAUGAACCGAACUAAUAUCAAUUUUUAGGUUUUAAGAGAUGAACCGAACUCUAAUAGAUCAUAGCUUUGAUUAUUUGUGAAUACAUCUGAUAGGUUAGUGAUUCCAGUUGCUUUGAACACGAACUAAGAAAACUUAAGGUUUCUUAAACCGACCAGGAAUUAACUAAGCUUAAAUAUGUUGUGUUGAGGUUUUUUUUAAGUAGUUGCCAAGGCACAUGGAUUGAUGUAAAACCUUGGUCUUGAAUCACAUGAUUAAUCAACUUUAUAAGAGACAGGUUAUAGCUAGCAUAGCUAAACUCAUGCAUGUUCAAAGUGAAUGUAUGAACUGUCAGCAUUACAAAUUGUUCAUCUAAAAAAUUGAGCGGCAGAUCUUGACAUGUUGAAGUAGUAAUUGCCUAGCUAUAUAAUUAUGGACCUCAAAAAGCGAAAAGCAAGUUCACUACACAGAAAGAAAAAAAACCGAGUCUAUGAGUAGCAUUCAAGAAUCUCAGGUCUCAAUCUCAUCAAAAGCCUUCAAAUUUCCUCUGUUAUCAAUGUAGGAUAUUAAGUUGAUCAUAUAUGGAUACGGUUAGUCAUACAGGAGAGUGUAUACCAUCAGGCAUACAUAUUAGCUUAGGAUGUAUUCAGAUAUUAAAGAACACAAAUUAUGUAAUUCAACAAUACCACCGCAAUAUAUUUCAGAGAACGCAUCACAAAGACACAAUGUGAUGAUCCCACAACUACAUACAAAUACAGUUAUCACAAAUCUAACAUACAGAUAAAUACACACAUCACUUACAAGUCCAUAGACAUGUCUGUCAUUCAGCAAAUUUUACACCUGUUAGAUAGACUUGGCAGUGGAUCAAAUGGCCAUCAAUCCAGAAACCAGGCAUGACCAUCAGCCCAACCCUAGGCUUCGGAUCGUUUUCAUCGGUGGAGAAAUUAUUUACAACACUUUUCAUAUAUGUCUCUGAAUAUUCACAUUCUUUUUUCACCUGGAAAAUUUUCACUGCAGGAUCAUAUGAAUAAGCCAACCUGUGCAAAAGCCAGAUUGACUUGGCCAAUUUUAAAAAUGCCAGGUAAAAAGGUGUCCUAGGAUGUCCUCCGUCAGUCACAUGGUUCCGCUGAUCCAAGUUCCCAAAAAAAGAAGCUUCCAUCUUUGGGUGAACAACAACUAGGUACUUGCUCCGACAAAAUUUUCCAAAAUCAGAAUCUGGAUUUUGACAAACAGAAUCUAGCGGAUCCACUUCUCUUAGGGCGAGAUACUGGUGGAAGAAGCUUUCUUCAGUGGCCAUACGGUCCUCAAUUAUCAGUGAGAAACUUUCCUGCUGAAAGCCAGUAAACAUUUUUUGGCAAAUAUGGGAUUCAAAUGUAUAUUUUUUAUGAGCCCUUUUCGCAUAAACUACAUUAGGUUCAAUAGCAUUCGCUGCAGCAUCAAGGUCCCACCCAGCAGCUUUCAUCAUGUUAAUCAAUGGCUUUGAAAAAUCAUGAAUCGCUUUGGAAGCAGCUUCUACAGCUGAACUGAAAAGAUCGACAGUCAACUCAAGUGAUCCGAAAUCACUUUGCAUGCCCAUCCCUUCCGAUUCAUUGGCUGACAAACCCCUAAGUUUAAGAUUUUUUUCCAGUUUUGUCCGCCUCUGAUUUGCCUCAGAUAUCUGUUGCUGAACCUGAGUGAUUUCAGAAUCUUUGUUGCGAAUUUCAGACUGAAACUUCUUUACCAUUACCUCGUAUGUUUUUAACAAGCUCUGCUGUUCUUGAAUCUCUGCAGCUAAGCGCGAGUCCUGAGGGGAAACACAUAGUGGUUUUGGGUUGUUCUCCCUGUAAAAAUGUUUAAGCUCGGAGAGAUCCUUAAGCUUAGCAAUUACAAGCUUGUCAGCGGCUUGAAUUUUAUCAGGGUCAUAGGGUGUAUGAGCAGCUUGGAGUUGGAUGUAAGCAGACUUUAAAGAGGAAAUGUUAGUAAAAAUCUUAGAUAUCAUCGAUUCUACCGCUUCUGGAUUCUGAUUUGUUGACUCUUCCAUAGGUUGGGGAUGGAUCUUCUGAUUAUUAAUGUCAAAAGGUUGGCUGUCCCUUCCCCCAGUGGGUUGCAUAGUUAUUUCAGCCAAGGGAAAAUAUUUUAUUUACGUGACAGAAACCACUAGAUGAGAAGCUGCCAGAUUAACAUCAACAAGAUUAGAUCACAAUUAACAUAAAUGCUAUCAGAAUUAGCAUGUUUUUUAUCGACAUAUUUGCUGUUUCAAGAGACUGCCUAUCCUACUACACUUCAGUACCCCAUUAAAGUAAGGAUAAUGUCAGAUCAAAAAAUAUAGCCCUAAUUAGAACUGAGCUAUAAUGCUUCACCAGUUUUAAGUAACAAACAGGACAGUCUGAAGGAAAAUAUAAUAGAUAACAUGUGUAAGAAAAGAGUACACACAGACAAAACUUUAAUGUCCAGGAGACUGAUAACUACUACAAUGUACCUAAUAACUAUUCAAACAUGGUCUACUUAAUAUAUGAACUUCUAAGCUUUUAUUAAGCUUUCAGAGAAAAUAAACUUGUUAGAGUUUCCAAACUCUGUAUAAUACUUGUGCAUGUCAUCCAUAAAGACUCUAACCGGUAGUAACUAAUCUUUAAUAAUGAAAACAUAGUAAUAACUUAACUGAAAAAAAUGAAAUAAUCAUAGUAGUACUAACAAAAUAAAUAUACUAAAAACAAAUAAAUAAGAUAAAGUCCAGUCACCACUGAUAUGUCCACCAAAACUCUGGAAAACAAGGAGAUCUGAUUUCCCAAAUCAAGUACAAACCUUUAUAAAUAUUGAGAAAUUAAGCAAUUUUUCGAUGGAGAAUGGUGCAAAGACACAGGCAUCAGCAAGUUAUGUUGUCAACAGGACUUACCUGAAUUUCAGAGAUCAAGUGUAAGCCAUCAUGUGCUUAGACUUUGCACCAAAAUACUUUUGAUUUAGAUAGAUGAUCAUAUUCAUCCCAUACGGAAUUAUAAUUUAUAUCAUAAAAAAAUAAUAUCACACACACACAAAGAAAUUGGCUACAAUCAGCCAAAUGCUUCACAUUAUAAGUUUAUGAUACAUCUGACUGUGACAAAAAAAGAACAGCCUGAUAUGAUACCAACAGAAGUGGAAAAACAAUAGGAGAGACGUAAAGAAGUCACCAAAAACAGUUACGUAACUGGCUACCAUCAUGGAGUAUAGACUGUCAUAGCAGAGCCUAGUAAAUUGGUACCUUAAUUUUACAAGACAUGGAAAUAAAUGAAAUAAAAAUACAUCCAUAAAACACGUACACUAAGCUUUCAACCCAACACAAAACGGUAAAUGUAUAAAUCAGUUAUAAACAUCACAAAAGUGAUCCUCAAAACAAAUUUAUCAUAUUGCCAAUGUGUCACCGGUACUAAUAAUACAGAUAAUCUAUAAAAUUCAAUGCUCAGUUGCACUGUUAUAUGUCUCUUCCUUGAUCGAACUUCUACUUCACUCAGCAAACCACACCAAAAAAAAAAAAAAACCUAAAAUUACAGAUCAACUAAUUACUUAAAUCCGACCUAAUUCACAUUCUAAAUCCCGAAAAUUACCCGGACCAAUCCAACAAGAACCGUAACAACCAUUUACCACAGAUCCACUUCUUUAAACUCACAUAUCCAGUUCCACUAAAUUUCAAUCAUUUUUAUCUCCACCCGAAAUUGACCCGUUUACAAACACACGAACCCGACCCAAAUUAGUUCAAGCCAAUGUGAAUCCAGACCAACUUCUCCAUGACAAAAUUAAACACCCAGAUAGCAGAUUAAAGCACUUAUACAACAAAGAACCACAUUUUAUGGGAGUUGUGUAUGUGAUUGAGCUCAUUACAUGUGACACGUACAUAGAAGCUUGUGUAUAUUUGUGAAUGUAAUUAAAGAGCAUGAAGAUAAUAUGCGGGUAUAGAAGUGAUGAGAGAACUUACAUAUUGUUGAGAUCGGAAAUCGGCGAGGUUAGAUUUGGGGGCGGAUGGAUUGGGGAUAAUGAAGUAUAAACCCUAGUUUUUUUAUUUAUUUUAGUCUUGAAAACGACGUCGCUUGGGUAAAAAGAGACUCAGAGCUGGCUGGCUGUCGUUUUGCACAACUGUAGUCUGUAGUACUUAAUUUUUCAUUAAAAACAAUCAUUCGGUUUUGCAAAACAAAUACUGUAUAUAUUUUUUCCCCCAACGGCUCUAUAUGUUCUUGCAUUUAUAAUAACCGUUAUUAUCGGAUUUUUGAUAAAAAAAAAAAACUACUACUUUUUAAAUAAAAUUUAUUUUAAAAUAUUUAGAUAAUAUUUAUUUUAAAUAUCUCGAGAUGUAAUAAUUGUUACAAGAAAUAUUUAUCACUUUCCAUAUACUUAAGCAACAAAACUAGGCAUUGUAAGAUUUUAAUAUAUUAUUUUUAAUAUUUAAGCAACAAAACUAGGCAGUGCAAGAUUUUAAUAUAUUAUUUUUAAUUUAUGGAUUGCUUGUUAUUUUGAUUUUGCUCUGUUUCUUGAUAAAAUGUCACAAAGUUGAUUAGAUUCUUUAGAAUUUAAGCACGGUUUUCGAAAUCUUAUUAAUUUUGGUGGUAUUCAAAAAACUUAAUAUAUAUUGAGUAAUCCCACAAAAUUCAUUAUUUUGUGAAAUUUAAAAAAAUUUAUCAGCGUUUGAAUAUCAUCAUGCCAUCAGAUUUUAAUUGAUUUUAAACGAUUCUCGGGAGUAUAUUGAGUUGGAAUUUUAAUGGAGCGUAUUCAGUUGGAAUUUUAAUGGAUUGUUUUUAAUUUAAAAAUUUAAUGUACUGUAUAUGAUUUUGAUUUUGUGCAGAUUCUUGAUAAAAUGUUGCAAAGUUGAUAUAGAUUUUUUAGAAUCUAAGGACAAUAUUUCAAAAUCUCAUUGAUUUUGCUGAGAUUUCAAAAGAUUUAAAGUACGCUGAACAAUCCCACAAAAUACAUCGUCUUAUAAAAUCCAAAAAAAUCUAUUAACAUUUGAAUACAGUAAGAUUUUAAUGAAUUUUAAACAAGCUCAAUUGAAUAACCUCAUAUUUUUAAGCAUAAUAUAAAAUCCUAAUUGAAUACGACCAGAUUUUGUAGUAUAACUUAAAAUCCAAAUUAGAUACCUCAAUAUUUUAAUGGAUCCCAGUUGAAAACUCUCGGAUUUUAUGAAUGAAAAAAAAAUCAUUUAUAAUCCCGGUCGAAUACACCCUUCGUAGUUUACUAUCAUCGAAUUUUUAAACAUAUACUAAAAUUCCAAUUGAAUAACACCAGAUUUUGUAGCAUAAUUUAAAUUCCAAUUGAAUACCUCAAUAUCUUAAUAGAUUUUAAACGAUCACAUCAAAUAUUCUUAAAUUUCAUAAAUAUAUUUUUUUAAAAAUCCAAUCAAAUACACCCCUAAUUUGUAAUGCGAGUAUAUAUAUCAUAAAACUUAAUUUUAUUCAAAAAAAUAUAAAAACUUAAUUAUAAUUAUAUUGACUAAAUUGCAUCAUCCGUCCGUGUUAGCAUUAUCUAAAACCAAAAGUGCUUUCAACAGGACCGCUGAUUUGUUUCACAGUUUCGCAAGUCACUAAUAUCAACAAUAUCCUAGUAUUAUUUGCAUAGAAGUGCGUGACAUAUUUAACUAAAAGCAGUGCAAAAUUCUUACAAUACACUGUACUACGGUCUACGUAUGUUAUUUAUGUAUACUUUGAGCAUGUAUUGUCCCAACACAAAAUAAAGUGCAUGUCAUCAUCUUCGGCUCCCUCUCAUUUCUAACCAAUUUAUUCAACCACUUUUCAAAACUAACCAGUUUUUUUUCGAGCUUUCAAAACUAACCAGUCUAAAUGAGGGGAGAAAACGCGACCUGAACGAAAAACUUUUUACAGCACGGGUCGCGCUUUGAAAGAGCGACCCAAACACAAAAAACCCCGUUGAGGUCGCUGUUUCAAAGAGAGACCCAAACACAAAAAUCCCCGUUGGGGUCGCUCUUUCAAAGAGAGACCCAAACUGUUUACAAAACCACCCAUAAAAAUCCUACCCACAGGCCACAACCUAGCAUAAAAACUGAGAAAAAAAAGGAGAAGCGGCGGAAGAGAAAAAAAGAGGCAGUCGGAGAGGGGAGUCCGAGAGGGUCGCCGGAGAGCUGAAAAAAGAGGAAAGGGUCGCCCAAAGUCUGAUUUUAAGCUUCAAAUCAACCUCGAUUAGCAUUAAUUUGAAGGUAUUAUCCUAAUCUUCUCUCAAGAUUUGUGUAUAUAUGUAUGUAUAAUGCCUUGAUUUUAAUUAAUUUGUUGUAUGCUAUACUAGAAUUUGCAUGCUUCAGAUUUUAUAUGAGAUUUGAUAUGAAACCGUUUAACAAUUUAGAGAUUUUAGGAUUUUAAGAUUUUAGGAUUUGUACUUGUUAAGAAUUUCUAAAUUGGAUCUUUAGUCUAAGUUCAUGAUUUCUAAAUUGGAUCUUUAGUCUAAGUUCAUGAUUUUAGGAUUUUUAAAUUCGAAUUAAAAUAUACUUAAUAAUUAUGAGAUUUUAAGGAAGUUUUAGGGUAAUUUUUAUGGUAAUUCUUAUGGUAUUUUUUAGGAUUUUUUAGGCAUUUUUAGGAAUUUUUUAUAAUUCGAAUUUUUAGGAUAAUUUAACAUAAUUCGAAUUAAUAUUAAAAUUCAAAUUAAAUAUUAAUAUUAUAAUAUUCGAAAACAUAAUAUUCAUAUUUUAAUUCUAAAAACAUAAAAUUCGGAAAACAUAAUAUUCAAAUUAAAAUAUUAAUAUUAAAAUAUUAAAAUGCGAAAUUAAAAUAUCAAAUGAAAAACAUGAUACUCAAAAUAUUAAUAUUGUGAAUUAAUAUAUUAAUAUUAUAAUAUUAAAAUAUUAAUAUUAUAAUAUUCAAAAAACAUAAUAUUCAAAUUAAAAUAUUAAUAUUAAAAUAUUAAAAUUCGAAAUUAAAAUAUCAAAUGAAAAACAUAAUAUUCGAAAAACAUAAUAUUCGAAAUAUUAAUAUUAAAAUAUGAAUAUAAUAUUCAUAACAAAAUAUUAACAUAUAUAAAUAUACUAAUUGAAUUAAAAUUUCAAAAAAUAAAAAUAUAUCGAACUAAAUCACUUUUAACACAUUCUAAUAAAUAUAUAAAUAUAAUUCAACCUGUAUAAAUAGUUUGAAUAUAUAUAUAUAUAAAUAUAAAUAAAAUAUUUGAAUUAAUAUAAAACUAUAAAAUCGGAAUUAAUAUAUAUAUAUANNNNNNNNNNNNNNNNNNNNNNNNNNNNNNNNNNNNNNNNNNNNNNNNNNNNNNNNNNNNNNNNNNNNNNNNNNNNNNNNNNNNNNNNNNNNNNNNNNNNNNNNNNNNNNNNNNNNNNNNNNNNNNNNNNNNNNNNNNNNNNNNNNNNNNNNNNNNNNNNNNNNNNNNNNNNNNNNNNNNNNNNNNNNNNNNNNNNNNNNNNNNNNNNNNNNNNNNNNNNNNNNNNNNNNNNNNNNNNNNNNNNNNNNNNNNNNNNNNNNNNNNNNNNNNNNNNNNNNNNNNNNNNNNNNNNNNNNNNNNNNNNNNNNNNNNNNNNNNNNNNNNNNNNNNNNNNNNNNNNNNNNNNNNNNNNNNNNNNNNNNNNNNNNNNNNNNNNNNNNNNNNNNNNNNNNNNNNNNNNNNNNNNNNNNNNNNNNNNNNNNNNNNNNNNNNNNNNNNNNNNNNNNNNNNNNNNNNNNNNNNNNNNNNNNNNNNNNNNNNNNNNNNNNNNNNNNNNNNNNNNNNNNNNNNNNNNNNNNNNNNNNNNNNNNNNNNNNNNNNNNNNNNNNNNNNNNNNNNNNNNNNNNNNNNNNNNNNNNNNNNNNNNNNNNNNNNNNNNNNNNNNNNNNNNNNNNNNNNNNNNNNNNNNNNNNNNNNNNNNNNNNNNNNNNNNNNNNNNNNNNNNNNNNNNNNNNNNNNNNNNNNNNNNNNNNNNNNNNNNNNNNNNNNNNNNNNNNNNNNNNNNNNNNNNNNNNNNNNNNNNNNNNNNNNNNNNNNNNNNNNNNNNNNNNNNNNNNNNNNNNNNNNNNNNNNNNNNNNNNNNNNNNNNNNNNNNNNNNNNNNNNNNNNNNNNNNNNNNNNNNNNNNNNNNNNNNNNNNNNNNNNNNNNNNNNNNNNNNNNNNNNNNNNNNNNNNNNNNNNNNNNNNNNNNNNNNNNNNNNNNNNNNNNNNNNNNNNNNNNNNNNNNNNNNNNNNNNNNNNNNNNNNNNNNNNNNNNNNNNNNNNNNNNNNNNNNNNNNNNNNNNNNNNNNNNNNNNNNNNNNNNNNNNNNNNNNNNNNNNACAACCCCAUCUCCACCUCCAUCUUCAUUCUAAACCCCACCUCCAUCUUCACCAACCCCACCUCCACUACCACCACCUCCGUCGUCGCCUCCUUCAUAACCACUACCACCUCUAUGCCGCCCACCCCCUCCAUAACCACCACCUCCAUCUCCAUCUCCACCUCCACCUCCAUUAUUUCUUUAACAACACAACCUCCACACCUCCAUCUUCACCAGGCCCAUCUUAAUCGCCGCUUCAACCUCCUUCAGAUUCGUUCAUACUUCUUUCUCCACCUCGACUCAACUUCAAAGGCGGAGCCGCCACUAUUCCGGCAACGCUCCAACCCCCUACUUCAAGCCGCCCAAACCUCCGCUACAAUCAUCUUUCCUCCAUCUCCACCUUCACCUCCACCAUCUCCACCACUAUCACCACCAUCUGAAUCGAAAACAUGAACAGAUCUGGAGAUUCUAAGCUGGUUAAUAUCUGGAGAUUGAGUUUUCACUAAAUUCUACAGCACAGAUCACUAAAUCCUAAAGAGAUAAUCACUAAAUUGUACUGAGAAUAUCACUAACUUGUAUUGGUUUUUAGUUUUUAUUUUAAAAUUGGUUUCUAUUUAAUCAUGAGCCUAUAUAUAUAUAUAUAUGGGAUUUGAUAUCAAUAUACACUUAGUGCGUACGAUUUCAUUCUUCAGUUCUAUCAGGUACUUGGUUUUUCUUAUCUUGUUAUCUGUACUGAUCUCUUCAUUAAUUGCACGAUUCUUGAUUGUUUUCGUGUUAUGGGUUACAAUUAUGGGAUUAUUUCGGGAUGAUCUUGUUUAUUCUUUUUAUAAUUAGACACGAUCGUGCAUUUGACAAGAUUCAGAACCCUGGAAAUUAAAGAAUUGAAGUUUGUUGUGUUUUGUGUAUUGGUCAGAUUUUAAUCAUAUUCCUAGCUCCUGAGUUUCUAGGUUUUUGUUAUGUUUCUCUUGGGACAAUAGUAAUUUAAUGCCUGUAUUGUCUGAAUUUCUGUAGUGAUCUGUUUGGUUAUGGAAAAACAUUUAUAUAUAUAUUUUUUUGCUUUUUUCGCGGUUCUUUCAAGUAAUUUUUCUGUUGGAAUGGGGUAAUUCUUUCGAGGUUCAUUGUAACGACUCGGGUUUUUCGGCAAUUAUUUAUUAGUUUGGUAUUAAUUCUUAAAAAGAGGAAUACAAUUUUAUAUUUUAUUCCAAUUUAUUGGUUUUCUAAAAUGAUUUUUUGAGUUACUGCAAUUAGGUGAAUAUUAAUAUUUUACGUGCAAAAUGUGAAUUGAUGCAAUUAUUUGGAUUAAUUGUGGUAACUGUUAUAUGUGCACUUUAUUGUUUAUUUUGUUCGAGUGGGUAGAUUAGAAACUCGAUUUAUUUUAUUAUUUUAAUAAAUCGAGAUUGUCUUUUUAUUUUAAAUCAAACUGUAUUUAUUUACAUCCAAAAAUUUUAUCCGAUACAAAUUACCAAAAUAUUCCAAUUUUGGUAUUUUAAUAUUUCCGCGGGUUUUAAAAGUAUUGGAUGGUUUUGCAAAUGAAUAUUUUUAUUAUUUUUAAUUUAGUGAAAACUUCAUUAAUUAUUUGUAAAAUUAGAGGGUGUCAAAAAAAUUAUUAUUUUUGCACCUUCUCUGUAUUUCGGAUUUUUAAAGAUUUUAGAAAAUUUUACUUUUUGUUUUCGAAAAUGUUUUAGAGCCCCUAAAUUUAAUAAAAUGAUUAAACUAGCAUUAUUUUUCAAAUUGGGGGCUACAAGUUAAAAAAAAAAUAUAAAUAGGAUCCUUUCUUUCUUUCUUUUAUUUUUUUUUUAUCUAAGCUGGCGAUUGAUACAGAAUGUUUUGGGGGAUAGGGUUGGAGACUCGGUGACGAGAUUUCAAUCAGAGGUAAUCACCUAGUUCUUGCCUCUUUCUUUAUGUAUAUAUAUGUGAUUGCUUGUAUGUAUAUGUGCCGCUGCCUAUUGUGGUUGGAGUUGAGGGGAGUAGUUGGUGUGGUUGUGAUAAAGAAGACGCAGGGGAAGGAGACGUGAGGCUGUGUGCGUGUGUAUACAUGGCGUGCGUGUAUGAGUUUGUGAAGAUGAGGGUGAGAGUUAGCUCGACGCCGGAGUUGCAGUACUCUGGUGCGUUGCGAGAGGAUGAGGGAAACGAUGGAAUGAUGAACUUGAUGGUACUGAUGCAGCAGCAAUUGGGAGAGAAAUUGGGGGUUCUGGGGUAUGGGAACAGAGGUUGUAGUGGAGUAUAUAAGGUGGGGGUUUGGAAGAUUUUAGUUGAGAAAAUAAGUCAUGGAAGAGAGCCAGGAGAGGGGCUGCAGGAGUAGAAAAAAGAAGGUUGUGAAUGUGUGCGUGAGUGUAAACAGCUUGCGUAGGCGUGUGUAAAUAGCUCAGUGUGAGUGUGUGUGUGUGUGUUUGUAUACUGCUGUGGCUGGUUGUGUGCAAGUAGAUGAAGUACUUGUGCAGAGCUGCAGGGGGCUUGAAGUUUGUGGCUGGGAUUGAGGAAGGUUGAGGCAUGGAGGCUGAUGGAUUGAAGCUGUUACAUGUGCGUGGAGCCUGGAAUAUUGGCCAUGGUGUGCGAGGAUAGCUGGGAGAAGUAAAGCAAUGGUUGGGGGAAAGAAAUUAAAGGGGUAAACGGGGCUGUCCAGGAGGUGCAAGGGGGUGCAAAUUGAUAGUAAUAAUAAUAAUACAUAAUAUUGUUAUUGAUGUCAAUGUGUGAAACUGUGUUUACUUGGUAAUUUUAGGAUGUCGAAUAUUAAUAUAUAUUAGUAUUAUUCUUUAUUAUUAUUAUUACUUUCACUGGUAAUAAUAAUAGUAAAUAAUAAUAUUAAUAAUAUAUAUAAAUGAUAUCUUAAUGGUCAAAAUGCUUUGCCAUUAUUAUUUGAUGGUAGCAUGUAGAAUUGAACUGCUAUGCUUAUUUAACUCAACUUGCAAAUAUGAAUUAGAUAGCAUGCUAAUAUAGUGGCUGUAUUGAUAAUAGUUCUUGCUAGUUGUUUAAUUAUUGACUUGAAUUCUUUGACUAUUGGGAAAUAUUUAUAUGUGUUGGUGAAAGGCGAUAACUAAUAUUUAAAAUAUUGCAAGUUUAUUAUUUGAUUAAAAUGUAUAAAUUAUAUGUUAUAUAGGAGAGUUAUUCCGCAAGGAUUUGAUUGGAAUGAUUGGAUUUAUUUCCAGUAAAUGGUAUAGGUUUGUGACAUUACAAGUUUAUUAUAUGCACUGUUUUAGGGACUUGCAUCUAGAAUUAGAUUUCAUUAAGUGUUCUCAAAUUGAUAUAUGUGGAUAUUGGUUGCGAGGUGAUUUAUUGGAUUGUAAUGGUGUCUUAGUUGAUGUUAGUCAUUAACUGUCGAUUUAUAUGAUUUAAAAGUUGAUAAGUUGGUUGUUGAUACUAGUUUAAAACAGGUGGAUGGUCAGAUAAAUAGAGGAUAUGCUGCCGAAAUUUCUUUAGAAGUUAAGUGUAUUCUGUCUAUAAAUAGAUAUUUGACAGUUAAUAGCAUUAUAUUAUAGUUGGAUGGAAUAUGUAUCCAUUUGUUUCUUGAUUAUGUGAUUAUUUGUCUGAUUGAUCCAGUGUAUAUAUAUUAUUAUGUGGAUAUCUAUUUAUAUUUUUGUUUACUAUAUAUGGAUAUGCGAAGGGUAGUUAGUUGCCGAUUCUAAUAGCAUUUAAAAGUAAUUAGUUUCAUCUGAUCCAGCGAUUGAAGUGUUUUCUGACUGCCGUACAGAGUCGACCGGGAUGUUCAGAAGUAGUUGAAUAGUAUUGUGAAGCGAGGCUAGCAUAAACCAAUAAAGUGAAGCUGUGCAAUGGAUGUUCUAUUAAAGUCUGUCAGAAACUAAGCAAAAGGGAACAGCUCGGUAGAUAGUACUAUUAGAAAUCUGAGUUAGCUAGACAGCGGAGUUAAGGCAAGUAUUCCUAUUCAACUUCUAUAUUUAAAAGCAAGUGUUUCUGUUUUUCCUCUUGUGGUUAAAAUCAAGUUCCCAGUUUCUUCUAUUUAUUCAAGAAUGAUUUUGAGGCGUUUUGGAAUUCUUUAUUGGUAAACGUAUUCCAUGGCUUAUUUUGUUCUAGUGGCAAUUGGUUAUUUUUGUUCAAUGUUCUCUUGAUAUUAUAUCUUUUAAGAAUGUUGAGCAUAUCCAACUAUAUAUGAUUUCAAACUUGGUUAACAGUAAAAUGUGUUAUACAGAGGGGUACUCUGUAGGUUUUGAUUUAAAGAGGUUGGAUACCUUUUGAGUUUGGUAACAUGAAAAUGAUGUUAAAAGACUUCUAAUAUAGAAGUAUUAUGUAUAAACUGUUAACCAAUCGGAAUUCAUUUGCUGGACCGUGGUGCCGGUCGUGAGUUACAUGCUACAUUAUUUAAGGCCAAUGUGUGCCUUGGGCCCCUUAGUUCUUUGGAUAGGUAGCGCCCUGUCCUGGUGCUUGAUGCUCGGCUGAUCACCGUGUCAGCACUACGCACCGUAAGCGAAUGAUUUUUCACAGAAUAGUUUUAAAUGAUUUUAUUCUCUUGUAAUCGCCAUACUUUUAAAAUAUGACUCUUGUUCUAUAUUGUUAAAAAUACCUGGCAAGUUACAUAUAGAAUUUGAUAUAUUUCAGUUCUCUUUCAUUUAUUUCAUCUUUUCUUAUUAUAUACUUGCUGAGCAUUAUUGCUCACUCUUGCUAUCCCUAUUAACCUUUUCAGCUAGGGAUUAAGGUGAUUUAUUUGUCGAGCUGCGCGUAAGAAUAUUGCUAGGCAAGAUUGCAAGGGACCAAAUUUCAGCUUGAUUAUCAGGUAGAGUAUUUUGGAAGAUAUCAAGGAAACUAGUUGUGAUUAGAAUGGUACAAUUUUAUAUCAGUUGUAUAAUAAUUUAUUUAUUGGUUAUCAGUUACUCUUCUUAUCGAGGUUUAACUGGUAAUGUAGUUUAAGUUGUAAUAAGAUUUAAAGUUUUAGUUUCUGAUUUCAAGCUGUAACCUUUUAGCGAUCCUGUUUUUAGGGGGUCAAAGUGAUUUUGAUUUAAAUCUCUUUUAAAAUGUUCAGAUUUUCAAAUAUCUGUUUUACCUUCUUCCGCAAAAUACAGGUUUUUAAAUGAUUUUGUUUUAGUGGCACCAAAUCCAGACCCCCGGAUUUUGGGGAUGUCACAUUCAUCAUAUUCUUUUGUGGUGAUAGGUAUCGGAGUCGAAUAGUAGAUUUAGGUGCUCAGGUACCAAAGCAAUUAUGACAUGAUUUACUGGUGUUCAGAAUGACAAUGAUGUUUGAAGGCUUGUUGCUAAUUACUUAAUAUAGGCAUUUUUACAUGAAGCUGUUGCGAUUAUAGGCCUUUUGAAUGAAGUAUUAAGCUUGCUAAAGUUUUUCCCACAUAUAUAGAGCUUAUAUAGUUUUGGUUUUACUUUUCUGUUCUGCAGUUUGCUGACUGUUAGGAUCUGCGUAUGUUAAUAUUGUAAAAGUAUGUUUCUUCUCAGGUCAUAGACAUGGCGAACAUUGGAAAGAGGGCAAUUCAUUAUUUGCAUAAACUAAGUGCCGCAAACAUCCCAACUGAUCUAAUUGAGAAAGGCCAAAACCGUGUUAUAGAUGCAUCCCUUACUUUAAUUCGAGAGAGAGCAAAACUUAAGGUAUAUACUGAUUUCCCAUGCCUACUUUUUCCUAUGAUCGUUGACAUCUGCGGUAUUAUAGGCACCUAGUGAACCAUAACAGAACUAGUUCUGAGAAGUGCAUAUUGCUCAUAUACUCUUUUUACUCAUAUCACGUGAAAAGAAUAUGAACAACAAAUGAGAGCAUUAAAUUGAAAACACUACCCCGAGCAGGCGAGUAAACUAGGCAGGCUACUAGGACCCAGUUAUCAUGUUUUCUAUAUUUGAAAGUCUUGAUCUGAUUUGAUAUUUAGUGACUUGGUACUUGUGCUUCUUUUUAAAGGGCGAACUUGUUCGGGCUUUAGGCGGCGCUGUAGCAUCUUCAUCUCUUCUUGGGAUUCCUCUGGGACACAACUCAUCAUUUCUCCAAGGGCCAGCUUUUGCUCCUCCGCGUAUAAGGGAGGCCAUAUGGGAUGGAAGCACAAAUUCCACGACUGAAGAAGGUAGAUAUGCUUCUGCUUAAGUUUUUUAUUGUUCUUGAUAAGUAUCCCCGUAUACUACAACUGAUUUUCAAUUUUCCAGCAUAAGAUUUUCAAUACGUUUUCAUGAAAUUUAUCAUUUUUAAAAUAUAUUUUUCAUAAUUUUUUUUUGACAAGCCACAAGUUUUAAUAGGUACUGUCUCCCGUCUCCAGAAAUAAUAAUAAAGACUGCAUAAAUAGUACCCUCAUCAAAUCCCCUUCGAAUAGAAUGUAAUAUUGUGUAUACUAUACUGGCAUGUUCAAAGCAGAUGUUCUGUUUCUCUAGUAUUUUCUCUUUUUCAAGUUCACAUACAUGGCUCUGCUGCGUACAGCAACCAUUUGAGAACUUCAGAUCACACAAUGUGCACGUAAAAAAAAAGGAUUUCUCCUCUCGCUGAUGUCUGUCGUUUGCAGUUUAAUUUCAAGAUUAGCUUAAGAAAAGUGCUUCCCUCCGACGCUACCACUCAAACGGUCUGAUGAGCAGAGGCUAACAAGUAGUAAUAACAUGUGCUUGAAAGGCAAAAGAACAUACUCAUAUAGGCAUAAUCUUACAGAAGGCAUCUAGAGUCUAGUCUUCAUGUGUUAUAAUAUCUUAUGAAAACUGAUGUCCAUUUUCCCUGAUGUGAAAGUUUUUUGAGGUUUAAAGUCCAUGUUUUAGAACUUUCUGAUAUGCUUGACUGUUUGUCACUGUCAUUUGACACAAUAUAGCGGUAAUGCAGGAAAAGAACUAGAAGAUCCUCGAGUGUUAACAGAUGUCGGGGAUGUUCCUGUACAAGAGCUACGAGAUUGUGGUGUAAAUGAUGACAAAUUGAUGCAUAUUAUAAGCGAGUCUGUAAAGCUGGUUAUGGAAGAAGUAAAGCCACAUUUCUUAUUUUUCCCUGGCUUUUACUUUAGUAUACUAGUCAAUUUUGUUUGUUGAAAUAAAAUCUGAAUACAAAAAGUCUGCACAAUGUUCAGCCUUUCCACCUCUCCUUCAUUAAAAUUAACUCUUCUCUUUAAUUAUUCCCAAGGAACCGCUGCGGCCUUUGGUUCUAGGGGGUGAUCACUCUAUAUCAUAUCCUGUUGUAAGAGCUGUAUCUGAAAAGCUUGGAGGGCCUGUGGAUAUUCUUCACCUUGAUGCUCAUCCUGAUAUUUAUCACGCCUUUGAAGGAAACAAGUACUCUCACGCAUCUUCCUUUGCACGAAUAAUGGAGGGAGGCUAUGCCAGGAGGCUGUUGCAGGUAGUAUUAGAUUUAUUGUAUUAGUGAAAUAGUUUACUAACCUAAAGGAAAUACGAUGAAAUUAACUGAUUUUAAUUUUUUUGCCUAAUCAGGUUGGUAUUAGAUCAAUCACCAGUGAAGGUCGUGAACAAGGGAAAAAGUUUGGCGUGGAACAAUACGAAAUGCGAACAUUUUCAAAAGAUCGCAGCUUUCUUGAAAAUCUGGUCUCUCCCUCCCUCCUUCUCUACACUCACACUCACAAAAACUAUGAUGCACAUGUGUGGUUAGGUCUUUAUGCUCCGAAAAUUGACAAUUCCCUCUACGAUGUAAAGUUUUAUUGUUGGUGUUUUCUUUUGGCAGAAACUCGGUGAAGGUGUAAAGGGUGUGUAUAUAUCAGUGGACGUGGACUGCCUAGAUCCUGCAUUUGCUCCAGGUGUCUCUCACAUAGAGCCGGGAGGUCUCUCCUUCAGAGAUGUUCUAAACAUACUCCACAACCUCCAAGCUGAUGUUGUUGGUGCAGAUGUGGUUGAAUUUAACCCCCAACGUGACACAGUUGAUGGUAUGACUGCAAUGGUUGCUGCGAAGUUGGUGAGAGAAUUGACUGCAAAAAUAUCAAAAUGAACAAUACUUGCACAACCAGUUAACCACUUCAAGACUCUUACGGUGCUUUCUCCCAUGUAUCAUUCUGCCAUGGAUCCGCUUCGCUAAGCUUGAUUUUACUCACUAGUCACUAGUCAGAUUUGUUGCCCGAAUUACCUUAUAUCAGCUCAUGAUUUUUACUUUCAUCAAAAGCACAUUCUUACCAUAAAGUCAAUGGCCACGAAUUUUUCAAUGUUCUAUGAUAAUCACACAAUAUUGCUUCACAUAUUGUUCUGUAACCGUUCAGUCCAUCAGUAUUGAUGUUUCACAUAACUGUGUGUUCUCGUAGGUUUCAUACUCUUGCUGAUAUAUGUUAGUUUUACGAAUAAUCUUGUCUAGAAUGUCUCAAAGGUGAGAUCAUCCAUCUGUGACUCACUUUCAACAUCUUCAUCUGGAUCAUAUCUAAUUGUUUCAGCAUUGCAACUGCAUUCAGUUAUAUGGAAAAGUGGUAUUCGAUUUGAGAUAGCAAAGCUUAUCUCAAGAUUCGGUAUCCAUUUGCAGACACUUGCUACACUAAAGCAACAGUAUGAAGUAGUUUCAACUUUGAUAAAGUUGAUUAGGAAAGCUUAAUGGCUAGAGGCUGCUAUGCUUAAUGCAAUCUUUGGUGUAUUUGUCAUGUAUGACAGCUCUUUUAAGCUCUUUUAAGUACUUGACGAGGUUGCUUAGGUGGGAUUAUUUGNUUUCCCUACAUUGUUGUAGUAAACAGAAUUUUUUACCGAUUCUUUUGUUUCUGCGGAAAAGCCAAUAUGCAGCCCUUGGCCUACACAGACGACGGCCUAAUAUAUUUGACCUUUUUCUGUAUAUAAAAAAAACAUAUCAUCAUUCUGGCUCGAGGGAAUUGAUUAUUACUCUUUAUUUGUUUAUGGAUUUUGGUAAGAUACUGAAGCAAUGAACCAUCAAGUACUGAUUUUGAAAUUGAUGCUACUAGAAUGACUUGCAAUAUAAAUUUGUACCAUGAUGACCUUGAUUAUGAAUCGGAUAAUAAGGUCCUCUAUUAACAUCGCUGAAGAUCGAUUAGGUCAUAUUUUGUUUAGAUUUUACUUUAAAUAAUGACCGAAUUUAUAAGUUGGAUUUAUUAUCACAUUUAAUAUAAGUAUGAAGAUAUGACAAUUCUAAGUUGAAUUUAUUAUCAUAAAAUAAUAUAAGUGUGGAAAUAUUGAUGAUCGAUGUUAUAAGCUGAAUUUAUUAUAAAGUACAGAAAUAUUUAGUUUAAAAAAAAAAAAAGUACAGAAAUAUUUUAAACUUGUCAAAAUCAACGAAACCGUAGAUAUUACUUGUAAUUGAUAUAAAAACCUGAAAGUUCAACUGUUUUUCAUUUUCGAAAGAAAAAUAAAAUCUUUCCAUGGAAACAGAAUAUGCUCAUCGAACUUUCACUGAAAAUUUACAAUCCAAAAAUUAAUGGCAUAUAAAUUAAAAGAUAAAUAAAAAAAGUUCAAAGACAAAUUGAAAAGCAUACAUUUCCUACCCAGAAUCAACGGUCAAGAUGACCCUAUACCCCAUCAUCCAACAGCCAUCAUUGACUCUCUCUCCUCUGCCUCUCUCACAUCCACACCCCAAUCUCUCCUAUCUUCGUUUUCUUGAUACCAUCGUAUUACUAUCCAUCAAUUAUAUAUACUCACGUAUAUAUACACCCAACACCAACCACUCAAACCCAUUUCCUACCUCUCUCUCCCACUCUCUCUCUACUUUUCUUGAGAGAGAUUUCGCAACUUCAACAAUGGCAGCUUCUUCUUCACUCACUCUCUCCCAAGCCAUUCUCUCUCGCUCGAUUCCUCGUCACAACCCCACUUGCUCUUCACCUCAGCAGCAAAAUCCAUCUUCAUCUCUCUCGUCUCUCCCGAUUUUCUCGCUGAAGUCGGCGCCUCGCCGGAGGAAUUACCGUCCGGCGGUGGUAAGGGCGGCGGCGGUAGAGACGUUGGAGAAGACGGAGAUAGAGCUGGUGGAGAAGAGUGUGAAUACGAUUAGAUUCUUGGCUAUUGAUGCAGUUGAGAAGGCUAAUUCGGGUCAUCCGGGUUUGCCCAUGGGUUGUGCUCCAAUGGGGCAUAUUUUGUAUGAUGAAGUGAUGAGGUAUAACCCCAAGAAUCCUUAUUGGUUUAAUAGGGAUAGGUUUGUUUUGUCUGCUGGACAUGGGUGUAUGUUGCAGUAUGCUCUUCUUCACUUGGCUGGUUAUGACAGUGUUCUGGUGAGCUCAUCUCUCCCUCCCUCCCUCCCUCUCUCUCUCUCUCUCUCUCUCUCUCUCCCUCUCUCUCUCUCUCCCCCUCCCUCCCUCCCUCCGUCCCUCUCUCCGUCCCUUCCUCCCUGCCCUCUCUAUCUCUCUUUAUAUAUUUUAUUCAAAUAUGUAUAUGUAUGUGUGCUUGGAUCUGAGUGAUUUGUUUGAUGAAGUUGCCAUCUUGACUGGUUAAAACAAACAAAUUUUAAAAGUUGACUAGUGGAUAUAUUUUUUUGAAAUUGAAGCUGAGGUAGUGUGGAUCAUCACAGAAAGUGGGUUUAGGUUGUUAGUUGCUUACUAUUUUAUUUAAUUGUUUGGGACAAUUAACCGAAUGAUUGGGCUUCGAUUGUGGAUUGUAGAAAGAGGGUAAAUUUUGAGUUAGUUCUGAAAUAUGAUAGAAUGUAUUUAUAAGCUUUAAGGAAUAUAAUCUGAUAAUUCCGGAUUGUGGAUCACAGAAAGAGCGUCAAUUUUGCGGACAAUUGCACAGAUAUACAGUGAAAGAUGCCGCAGUAGUUGGUUAUUAUAUGGAGCUGUAGGAACUGAGACCAAUUAUAGAUUAUAAUAGAAAAGUAUUUGCUCAUGUUUCAGGAAGAAGAUCUGAAGCAGUUCCGUCAGUGGGGAAGCAAAACUCCAGGACACCCCGAAAACUUUGAGACCCCUGGCGUUGAAGUCACAACUGGUGAGUGAAGGUUGUAAUGCCAUAUUGUGCUUAUCAACUGGAAAAUUUGAUUUUUAACACUUUGUGUAAAUAUAUGCAGGUCCUCUUGGGCAGGGUAUUGCCAAUGCUGUUGGUCUUGCCCUUGCAGAGAAGCACUUAGCUGCUCGUUUUAACAAGCCAGAUAGUGAGAUUGUUGAUCACUACACGUAAGUUUGAUAUUAUUUUGCCUGUUCAUUUCUCAACAUGUAUACAAGAGAUCCUUAUAUUAGAUAUUUCAGGUAUUGUAUAGUUGGGGAUGGAUGCCAAAUGGAGGGUAUUUCUAAUGAAGCAUGCUCCCUUGCUGGACAUUGGGGACUAGGAAAACUGAUUGCUUUCUAUGACGACAACCAUAUCUCAAUUGAUGGGGACACAGAGAUUGCCUUCACCGAGAGUGUAGAUACCCGUUUUGAGGGUCUUGGGUGGCACAUUAUUUGGGUGAAAAAUGGAAAUACCGGUUAUGAUGAAAUUCGUGCUGCCAUAAAGGAAGCAAAGGCUGUUACUGACAAGCCUACUUUGAUCAAGGUCAGAUAAUAAAUCAAGAAAUAAGAAUCAUUGCUUAAAAGUAUUUUGUUCUUGUUCUGUACACUAGUAAGGAUUGCUUGAAGUUUAAAACAUUGGUCGCAAUAUGUGUUGUGAUAUAUGAUAUGCAUUUUAGGCUAAAGGCGAGCGAUGUUUAUUUGGCUGUGAUUUGUUCUUUUAAAAAAGUUUAAGUAACCAAUUUCGUGGUUGUACAUAGUGUUGUUUCCAAAGUGAGAAUUAUGUAAGACAAUGCAAUCCAACGGAAAGAUUUACCCGAUGUUUACAAUCAGUGAACAGAGUCUUUUAUUUCUGUUCACUCUGUGGAGAUCAUUCAUACUGAUACAUCACGUCUUACAGGUGACCACAACAAUUGGUUUUGGCUCACCUAACAAAGCAAACUCAUACAGUGUACAUGGAGCUGCCCUGGGAGCCUCAGAAGUUGAUGCCACAAGGAAGAACCUUGGAUGGCCAUACGAGCCAUUCCAUGUACCAGAGGAUGUCAAAAAGUAUGAAUAUCUGUCAUUCAUCAUGGACGUGUUGUUAUUUAACUGUUGCUUGUACUUUGUCUCUGAAUUACAUUUGGUUUUGUUUACUGCAGACAUUGGAGCCGCCAUACCCCUGAUGGUGCUGCAUUGGAAGCUGAGUGGAAUACAAAGUUUGCCGAGUAUGAAAAGAAGUAUGCAGAGGACGCUGCUGAAUUGAAGUCCAUCAUCACCGGUGUACAACCUGCUGGUUGGGAAAAAUCUCUGCCAGUGAGUCUAUUAUUUUAACUAGUAUUUGUUGCUGUGUUAAUAUGAUCACCUGCAUGUUAAAUUCUGUUCGGACAUCACACGACAUAGUUUGAUUGCAAUAUAUACACUUUUUGUUGACUGUGUUGUCAAAACCGUGUGACUACUUGUCAGACAUACACUCCUGAGGUCCCUGCCGAUGCCACCAGAAAUCUCUCUCAGGCAUGUCUAAAUGCCCUUGCACCAGCAGUUCCUGGCCUAAUCGGUGGUAGUGCUGAUCUUGCUUCCUCCAACAUGACACUACUGAAAAUGUUUGGGGACUUCCAAAAGGGUACUCCAGAAGAACGUAACGUCAGAUUUGGUGUUCGUGAGCAUGGUAUGGGAGCUAUCUGCAAUGGAAUUGCUCUUCACAGUCCUGGUUUUGUUCCAUACUGUGCAACUUUCUUUGUGUUCACGGAUUACAUGAGAGGGGCCAUGAGGAUUUCUGCCUUGAGUGAAGCUGGAGUUAUAUAUGUCAUGACCCACGACUCAAUUGGACUGGGAGAAGAUGGACCAACUCAUCAGCCUAUUGAGCACUUGGCUAGUUUCAGGGCAAUGCCCAACAUGUUGAUGUUUCGACCAGCUGACGGCAACGAAACUGCUGGAGCAUACAAGGUUGCUGUCAUCAACAGGAAAAGACCAUCAAUUCUUGCCCUCUCCAGGCAAAAGCUGCCAAACCUUCCUGGAACUUCUAUUGAAGGAGUAGAAAAAGGAGGAUAUACAAUAUCAGACAAUUCAACCGGCAACAAACCUGAUGUGAUCUUGAUUGGAACUGGUUCUGAAUUGGAGAUUGUGGCCAAAGCUGCUGAUGAACUCAGAAAGGAAGGGAAAGCAGUUAGAGCUGUCUCCUUUGUUUCUUGGGAGCUAUUCGAUGAACAGUCUGCUGAGUACAAGGAAAGCGUUCUACCAGCAGCUGUAACAGCAAGGGUUAGCAUUGAAGCUGCAUCAACAUUUGGGUGGGCAAAGAUAGUCGGAAGUGCAGGAAAGGCCAUCGGGAUUGACGGGUUUGGAGCCAGUGCUCCAGCUGGAAAAAUAUACAAGGAAUACGGCAUUACAGUCGAGGCAGUUGUUGCUGCAGCUAAGGAACUUUGCUAGGUAUUCAUCACUGAAUUCCAGUGGGCUUGUUAGUUUUCCAGAAACUAUUCCUGUUUGGAUUCUUGGUUGGAAAACUCAAACCAUAUGAUUGUUAAUAGACUAAACUCUAUUCAAGUACUCAUAAGAUUUCUCGCAAUAAUGAAGAUAAAAUUUUCUUUGCUGCUUUUAUCUUCAGUGCAGCAUCUGAGACUGCCAACUGAAUCAAAGAUGAACUGAGAUUAGAUUUCUUGAAUGUUCGUGGAUUUGUAUCAAUACUUAAACAGUUGUUGACUUCUGUAAUAUUACAUAUUGGAUUGUUACUGCAUUCUAUGUUCCAUCUUCAGGAUAAAUCAAAUAACGAGCUAAUACGAUGUCGGAUGGAACGAAUCUGAACUUACAAAUUUUUUCUUCUGUAUUCAGACUAUCUUUUCCUUGAAAAUUUUGUUUUCCUUGAAAGUCGGUAUUUGAAGAAUGUAGGGGUGAUGACUAACUAGGAUCAUGAUAAAGUUUGGAUUUUCGCAUUCUGAUAUUUUGGAUGAGGUGGUGAGUUGGAGCCAUUUGAAAAGGGUAAGGCUAUCCAGUAUCCACUCUUCUCAUGGUAUAUUGAUCCUUUGAUUAUUAUGUGGUGGUUAUUUCUCUGCCUUUAAGCUUACUUCCUAUACAGAUUGUUUGUUUUCCCUCAGUGUUGUCACAUACAACCAAUUGAAAGUGAAAGGAAUGGAGCCCUGAGGUUUGGAUUAUUGUUGCUGAAAAUAUCAUUUUGUUUCUGUUCUUAAAGUUGAAAGUUUGGUAUGGCUUGUAUGUAAUGAGAGGNUCUGUUCUUAAAGUUGAAAGUUUGGUAUGGCUUGUAUGUAAUGAGAGUGAUGGGGCUCCAUUGCAUUAAAAGAAUUAUGCUCAAAAUUUCAGCAUAUUCUUUUUCUUUCUUUAGUUUCUUUCUGUGUCCCAUUCUGCUGUUGAAAGGAUAAUUUUAAGCUAUAUUACUACAAUACUACUAAAGAUCUAUGUUCUCAUUGUCAUGUUGUUUGGACUUUGAUAUAAUUUGUGUGCCCUAGUAACGCUAAUCUUGUUUCAUCUACAACAACGUUUUUAGUAUAGUCAACGGAAAAUUCAAAUACUCACGUACACGUGUCUUCCUUGAAAUUUGAACUCUCGACCUCUUGUUACUAGGAGAGGCAUCCACUAGGUUAUAAUACAUCCGUGCAAUUCAAGGAAUUUAAGUUCUGUGCCGUUGAAAAGUGAAAUGUCGUUACCCUCAUUUGCAAUGAAAAAAAUAAUAAUCACAUUUUUUUUAAUUUUAAAUUGUCAUCAUCAUGUUUCUGACAUUUUGUGUUCCAUUCUGGAUUUCUGGGGGUCAAAAUGAUUCGAGUUACUACUUGCUGCUAAAGAUCUAGAUUCUACACCUUGUUAGAUCAAGUUGAAUAAGCAAAACAUGCAAUUAUCUAUGCAUGCAAACAUCAAAUUGAUCAAUCCUGUCGUUUUCCAAUUGCAUUUUAUCAUGGAAGCAAGCAAUUAUCUGUGCAUGAAAAUUUCAGAUUGAUCUGUCCUAUCUUUUCCUAAUUGCAUCUUAUCAUGGUUUUGGAAUUGGUGUAAUCAAGUGUUAUAUAGUGUCUUGGUGUGCUCUAGUAAAGCAAAUCUUGUUUCAACGGCGAUUAUUAUGGUCAACUACAAAAAUUUAAAUACUCACGCACACAUGUCUUCACUGAAACUUGAACUCUCGACCUCUUGUCACCACGAAAUAGAAUCCACUAGGUAACAAAUCACACUAUUAAGAGUGUAUCAUCAACAAUUUAAGUAUUGUGCCCCUGAAAAGUGCAAGUCUAGUUACUAACAAUUUUCAUAAUAACAAUUUAAUUUUCAUAAUAUGAAGGUAAAAAAAAAUAAGGAAUUGCUGUAUGAAAAGCAACAAGGUUGGUGAAGGAAAACAUAGAUGAAGGGAAUGAGUUCACAAGAGGCCCAACAACCCUUUGGUAAAAGAAGUGGACUUUUGGUAGGUAGGCGUUGUUGUACAAUACCUAACAACAUCCAGGACUAACCCACCUACUCCUGAGGGCCCAAUCAUCACAAUUAUUAAGUUAUGCAUAACUUGGAAUAAAUGAUUUCAUUUUUGACACGUGAAGUAAAAAUGUAUUAUAAAUUUCACAAAACACAAAUCUCUGGUUUAUUAAAUUAAGCAGAUCAUAAUAUAAAUUUGAUUAAAAAAUAUAUAAAAAAGAUAUUUUUGUAAUUAUUUUCCAAAAAAUACGAUACAUACAUAUAUGCAAUUCAUUUGUAAUCUUUACAACCUGAAAAUUUCAUAUAUUUCGACUGGUAUUGCAAUUUCAUAUAUAAUUUUAAAUUUUUUAAAAAUAUAAAUAAUUUAUAAAAUUUAUCAAAAAAAUUACUUAUAUAUAUUGAUAAAAUUAAAGAUAUGUAUUUAAAGAUAGAUAUUCUGAUUUCUUGGUAUUUUUUAAUUUAAAGAUUGAUUUUUUUUUUUUAAUAUGGGUAGGUGAGGCAAGUGACCGUUCAAGAUUUCCAGCAUCCUGCUAUUCUGCGCACACUCAACAACCCAAACCCCAAAACUAAAACUUCUUGAAAUCAAUCUGUUCUUACCAAACACAUCUUAGAGCCUCCAUAAACAAAACCCAGAAAGCCAUUUUAUACCAUUACCUCAAAACAAUUCGCAAUUGAAAAUGGCGCAGGUUAGCAAUAUGGCCAAGGGAGUUCAAACCCCUCAUUUUUGUGCUAAUUUGAGGAGACCCAAGAACCCCAAAUUUCAAAAGAUUGUAUCUUUUGGGUCAAAUGUUAAUGAUUUUGCUAAUUCUUGUGGGUUGAAUUGUAAAAGGGUUGGUUUUAGGCCUUUAGUUGGUGAUUUUAAAGAUAGGUGUUCGUUAAAGAUUGCAGCUUCAGCUGCCACCACCACUGAGAAGCCUUCGAUUGUGCCUGAGAUUGUGUUGCAGCCCAUUAAAGAGAUCUCUGGUACUGUCAAGUUGCCUGGGUCGAAAUCGCUUUCGAAUAGAAUUUUGCUUCUUGCUGCUCUUUCUGAGGUAAUUUCUUGUUUUGCGAUAAUGAUGUUGUAUAUAAGAAUGGUGUAUGUAUGGGACUAUAGCUUGUGUACUACUUUUGUUGAGAAAGUAAGAUUUUUAUUUUUUUGCAACGGGAUGUGAAUGUUGGAUAGAACUAUAGAUAAUGUACAAGGUUGGUAUCUAGUUAAGGUCAUAUAGAUAAUUUUGUCAAGCUUCCCAAAUUUUUAAGGGCAACUUCGGCAAGAAUAGUAUUCUGGCAUAUUGAGUGCUUUUAAUGAAUUGCGUUGAAACCUAAUGAUUGUUGGAAUCCAAGAAUAAUGUGAACUGAAAUAUGCUAGUUUUUAGGGCACACGAGUUACUUCCAAUGUUUUAGAUGGGAGUGUCAAGAAUUGUUGAAGUCAGGGUUAUUCAUCUGCAUUUUCCUUGUCAAAAGCCGUAUUACAUUGUGCUGGUGGGCAGGAAAAUAAGGCAUAGGUGGUCACGCGUGUAAAGAAACUUGCUCUUGGAUUGUAAUUUGUACUUGCAAAAGAAUAAAUUAGUAGCAGUGUCAUUUUCCUAAGAUUUCAAUUGAUUGCCUGGUUGAUAAAACAUGAAUCGUAAAAUGUUUUCUUGCUUAUAUAUAUUAUUAUAGUUAUUUAGCGAAGUAAAUACUCCAGAUUGUUAUAUACUUUAUGGGACGACCUUUUUUUAACCCUUAGAAAUGGGCUUUUUGUGGUCAACUUUGAAGAUUGAAAAGCAUCUCAAUUUCUUUUAGUAGGCUCCUCCCUUGAGAAAUUUUCUAGUAGUAGGCAUGAGUUGUGUAACCAUUGCUUCCUUUUUCAUUUUUUUGAUUUUUUCGCUUCCUAUGAAAUCAGGGACUCACCCAUUAUGCUUUUGGAACUUUUGUAGGGAACCACUGUUGUAGACAAUUUAUUGAACAGUGAUGACGUCCAUUAUAUGCUUGGUGCCUUGAGAACGCUUGGGCUACGAGUAGAAGAGGAUAGUGCAAGUAAAAGAGCAAUUAUUGAAGGUUCAUCUGGUCUCUUUCCUGCAGGAAAGGAAUCUAAAGAUGAAAUUCAACUUUUCCUUGGAAAUGCCGGAACAGCAAUGCGUCCGUUGACUGCUGCUGUCACUGUAGCCGGAGGAAAUUCUAGGUAUAUAGUUUACAUUCACACACAUAACUGCAGUAGUCAUGUAAUCAAGUCGUAUUUAUGCCAGUGCCUUGGACAACGAGGUUCCUUCUCAAGGUACCCACCCAGGCACCGUAAGGCUGUAAGAAGUUUCUCAUGACUUGUCUUCUGUGUACCCUAGUCUGAGUAGUGUUAGAAUUUGUUUUCUGCUUUCGGUUGUGUUUCCUUGGCAAAAGCUUAAAACGUUCUUCAUCUCUUGCUAAACUAGGCAUGACCUGAUUUCUUAAUAGAUUAGACAUACUUAUUUACUUGAUAUUAGAUCCUAAAAGUGAAAUCUUCCAAUACUUUGCUGUCCUAUACUAUGUGAGUAUGUGGUUUGUCACAGACAUUGCUUAGGACUUCUAGAAUUCCAACAAAAGUAAAUUGUAAAUCUACACUUCAGGAUGUUUUACGACCAUACUAGUUAGAGCGCGUAUCAUGUAUGUUCGAACUGAAAAUGGGUCACGAAUCUAUCAUCUGGCAAGGAUUGUAAUAUUCACUUCAUCUCAAACCAUGGCAUGUGCACUUCAUAGAAUGCAUUAUUGUUUCCGAGUUUUGUUUGAAUCCAUCAAUGGUUAUAUACCUAUUCUUACUGUUAACUGACUUUGUGAUGGGAUUUCAGUUACAUACUAGAUGGCGUGCCCCGGAUGAGAGAGAGGCCAAUUGGUGAUUUGGUUACAGGUCUUAAGCAGCUUGGUGCAGAUGUUGAUUGUUUUCUUGGCACAAACUGUCCCCCAGUCCGAGUAGCUGGAAAGGGAGGCCUUCCUGGUGGAAAGGUAAAAUCGGAUGGCUUUUUAAGUCUACCCUUGCAAGUCAGAUAUGCUCUUAAUCUUUGUUUAUCAUUUGACUAAUUUAUGUUUUAGAAUGUUGAAUUUGUUCUACUGCAAAGUUUGAUGUCCUACUAACUCAGUCUAUGUUUGGCUAUGCAAUCAGUUUCUGUAUCCAUGUAUCUUUGUCAUUUGUAUAUUAAAUGUCAUCUUAAUAUCUUAUAGAUGAUAUUGCUCAUAACACUGAAUAGAUUUGGUUUGAAAGAAAGUUCUUACGUUAUAUACGAAAUGUUUGGGGGUGUUCUGACAUUAUAGGUUGCUAUGUUUGUUUUAAUGAGAUUCAAUCAAUCUGUUCUCUUUUUCUACUGACAGGUCAAGCUUUCUGGAUCAGUCAGUAGUCAGUACCUUACUGCUUUGCUCAUGGCAGCUCCCUUAGCAGUUGGAGACAUUGAGAUUGAGAUAAUCGAUAAACUAAUUUCUGUACCAUAUGUUGAGAUGACCCUGAAGUUGAUGGAACGAUUUGGUGUUACUGUAGAGCAUACUGGUAACUGGGACAGGUUUCUGAUUAAAGGAGGUCAAAAAUACAAGUAAGUUUCUUCUGACACUGGUUUAUGAAGCGUGGUUGCAUUGGAAUCUAAUAAAGUGAAAACCAAUCAGGUCCCCAGGUAGUGCUUAUGUAGAAGGUGAUGCCUCAAGUGCUAGUUACUUUUUGGCUGGUGCAGCAGUGACUGGUGGAACCAUAACUGUCGAAGGCUGUGGAACAAGCAGCUUACAGGUAUUGUACACAUAAAAAGUCUUUGCUCUUUAGACUUCUAUCUGCACCUGGCAGUAGCCUUGAUUACUUGCAUGAUUAUUACAUGUAAUGUUUUGUGAAUAAGUCAUUUAAUCUCAUAGAUAUUUUACAAUUAUAAUGACUUUACUAGUUUGUUUACCACACUACAUUUGCACUUAACACCCGUUCCCAAGUUUGUUUGCACCAAAAAAGAACUUUCAACUGUCUGGCAUAUAGGGUAAAUUGGUUUCCCAAUUUUUUUAAUAUCUUAAACUGUUACUCCCUCCGUUCCCCUAGGUUCUUCACAUUGGGGACGAAGGGCUCGGCACACAUUUUAAGGCUCCUAUAACUAUAGUUUCAUAGAUUAUUUUUUAAACUUUUUUUUUCUUUUAAAUAAAAGUAUAAUGUUCAUAUUUUUAUGCAAGAAAAGAGAAUUUUAAAAAUAAGUUAUAAUAUUAUAUUUUAUAAGCCUUAAAAUGUUUGUUGAGCAGUGAGAAAAAACUGUAAAGAAAUGAGAGGGACGGAGGGAGUAUCAAAGAUGACAUUAAAAAACAGCUCAUCAGAAUAUGAUACUACUAUUUUGCAGCCCACACUCGAUUUGUGGGUGCUAUCCUUUUUUCUUUUUUUGAAUCCAGAAACAUCUAAUAGCAUAGAUCAAGAUUUAAUAAAAGCUAUUAUAGGAUCUGGGAAAGAACUUGUCCGGACCAUCUCUUUACCUACAUCUAUAUUCCACCUAGCAAUGCAAUUAGCUACAGUAUUACUUGCUCUUCUAAUGCAACUUUUCAGUCUCUUAAUGUCUUCAUAAAAGCUUUCCAAGUAUUUUCGUAGCAUGGAACUGAAAUAUGAUUGAACUUGGGCUCAAUCUUGAUUUUCAUAUUCUCUUCCCUUGAUAUACUAAUUUUUCAUUGGUUCUCAACUACCUCCCAAGUCACAAUUACAGCAGAAAAAAGUCUUGUUGUGUUUGUCAUUUGUUAAUAUACAACUCUGCCUUUGUAACCCUUUUUUUCCUUUUGUUGUGUCAUAAUCCCUUAUAUAAUGUUAGCUCACUCUUCAUCUCUUUUCUCUUUUAAGGGUGAUGUGAAAUUUGCUGAGGUUCUUGGUCAAAUGGGUGCUGAAGUAACCUGGACUGAGAACAGUGUCACAGUUAGAGGGCCACCUCGCAAUUCUACCGGAAGGAAACAUUUGCGGGCAGUUGAUGUCAACAUGAAUAAAAUGCCAGAUGUUGCUAUGACCCUUGCUGUAGUGGCACUUUUUGCGGACGGUCCAACAACAAUAAGAGAUGGUACAUUUAUAGCUCUUUUAUAUAUAUAUGCAGAAUGAAGGUGCUAAAAACUUUAUUAUGCAGCGGGUAACUGAUAAUGGGCAUAUCUUACAAUUUAGGAUUGUUGGGUUUGUUAGAGGAAAGAUACUGUGUAGUGUGUCUAGAGAUAUUUGACAAUGGGGCAUGCUAGUUUUUAGUAGUACUUUAGGUGAAAAAACUCAAGUUUGUUGAUUCUGGUCUUUUUGUUUGGUGCUGGUACACAAGUUCACUAUGUGGGUGUUCUGAGCACUGCCACAUUAAAAACCAUUGGAAGAAUUUGCAGGCACAUAUUAAGAAGUAUCUUGAAAUUAAAUGUCUUGCGCAUAACCUAGUUUGGAACUUAUUUGGGGUGAUUUUCUUAAAAUAAACGAAGUUUAUGUACUGAAUGUGGAACUUAAAAAAUUUAUGCUCCUUUCUUACCUGUACAGAAGAAAGAAAGCUGUUGUUUCUCUUUUCCCAUUACUAUUUUGAAAAUUAGUGCUCUAAAUAAAGCUGACCAUAUCUGUUACUGCUUGUAGUUGCUAGCUGGAGAGUGAAGGAGACUGAGCGAAUGAUUGCCAUUUGCACAGAACUCAGAAAGGUAGAAUCUUAUGCAGCACACUAUAAAUUUCGUGAACAUUUAUUGUCUAACGAUUUUAGACUUUUCCGGUUUUACCCUUACAUGUAUAUCUUUCAACAUUUCAGCUAGGAGCAACAGUUGAAGAGGGUCCAGAUUACUGUGUAAUCACUCCGCCUGAGAAAUUAAAUGUGACCUCAAUAGAUACAUAUGAUGAUCAUAGAAUGGCCAUGGCUUUCUCUCUUGCUGCCUGUUCAGAUGUUCCUGUCACUAUUAGGGAUCCAAGCUGCACUAAAAAAACCUUCCCCGACUACUUCGAGGUCCUCCAGAAGUUUUCAAAGCAUUAAAAAAAAAUAUUUAAUUUGUACCAAGUAAAGAAAUUGGACAUGGAAGUGAGUUCAUGGUAAUCAUAGGAAAUGCCAUUUGGGAGGUAUACAAUGUACAACCCAUCUACAUCUCAGUUCUUUUAGCAGUGUUUAAAAUAUGCUUGCCAGAAUAAAUUCUCAAAGAAUGUGUAUGUUAAUGCCAACUGUAAUCUGUAUCAAAUUUUGAUCAUAUAAUGUUCAAGAAGAGUGAUUUGUACAUGUAUCAAUUUAUUAAAAACCUAUAUGGAUUAAAAUAUUCCUCCGUCUCAUAUACCCCAGACUCUACCUUCAGUUCUUACUGUCCGACUGUAAAUCCAAGACAUGGGUAAAAAAAUUUUGAUGUAUGGUUUGUUUCUCUGCUUGUCUAUUAUGAUUAAAAUAAUCUAUACUUGAUCAACAUGAGAAAGACAAGAAAGAGCAAUCUCACAAGAUUGCAGAAAGACAAGAAAGAGCAAUCUCACAAGAUUGCAGUGAUGCUUUGAAGUUUUAUCUUUAAUGUAUUCAUACUUGUACUGUGGUGUUAGAUUUGAGAAAGCAUGGAGCAUGACAAGCUAUAAAGAUUAAAAAAAGGACAUUCAACUACUUUACAAUCUGUGCCAGACAGUCACAUGGUAGCUUAUUUUAAGAUGAUUUCUGAAUCUUGUAGUACCAUAUUAAUUAACGGUUUUUCUCUGGUGUGCCCAUGGGCACACAAUAAGCACAAAAUUUGAUGACUUUCCUUUGUUUUGAUUGGUUUACACUCUUUUAAUAAUGAUGGCCCCCCUGCAUUCACACCAACCACACCAAUCAAAACACAUCAAAUUUAUAAGUUUCCGUGCAUAGCAUGUGCCCAUGGGCACACACUAGACAAACCCAU